rnacentral:lncRNA from 1 species
AAGAGAAGUAAAACUCACCAUUUCCUCUUAUACCCGAAAUCAUGUAUUCAUCUUUUUUUUUUAUUAGUCUCUCAAUAUUAGCUUGAUUGUUUUGUUAUAAUAUAGCCUAGAUAACCUCAAAACUCUCCCCAAUUGCAUAUCAUCUAGCAUAAAAAUCUGAACUAAACCUUCCUCAUGGGAUUGACCCCUUGCUUGCUCUCUACUAUCUUGUUUAUUUAAGUUAGGGUAAUUAAUUUGUGUGACAACGACAACGCAACACAGAUCAUGGUUCUGAGCACCUUGAGUGUCCAUAGUUGCACUAGAUUCCCCCACAUGUCGUUGUAGUUUCUGUAUAAGAGAAUAUUGUUGAAAUGACAGUCCAUUAAUAAGGUUUUUUAGUUCAUCAAUCUUUAUUUUGUUUCUAGUUCUAGUGUUCUCUAACUUCUAGCCAUACCCUUCCAAUAACAUCAUCACUUGUUCAUAUUUUUUAGUUUGCUCCUUGUUAGCUAAUUCCAAAAAGUAUUCUAGCUUCUUAAGAUCUCGGGACCUCAUGUUUGGUGUCAUUCCCUGAGGCCAAAUAUCUGUUUUGAUACCACUUGGAGCGAGUUGGAUUUUUACAAUACCAAUCUAGAUUUGAUCUAGUAAUAGGUUCAAAGGAAAAUUAAUUAACAUGAGGGGGAAGAAAAAGCAGUUGCUCUCAAGGUCCAGCAAUGGGUAGUGUUCAAAGUAGUUAGCAGGAAAGAGAGGGUUGUUAGGUUUCCUCAUGUCAUCAUUUUUAUUCAUGGGCAAUACCAGAAAAAGUUUGUUACAUAUAUAACUAACAUUUCUUCUAGAAUCAAUUCCCAGAAUAUAUAAGAACAGGGGAAUUAAUUCAUUCUAACCAAAACAUAAAGUAAAAGACUAAACCAAAGAAUUAGUUAUUCUAGUCAAACAGUGUGUAGAAGGAACAAUGAUGAACCCAUCAAUUAAAUGAAACAGUGUGCAUUACUUCUUAGCCAAAUGGUGAGUUUUGAACAACGGUAUAAAGAUAAUGGUUAUUUAAAUCAAAUCUUCUUCUUCACUACUUCAUUUUGCGCUCUUGACAACAUAUCUCUAGAAAAAAUCCAAAAUCAAAACAAUAGUAGAAGCCUUUCCUUCUCAAAGUCAUGUUAUAUCUCUCUGUAACAAUUCCUUAUCUCUUUUUAUUUACUUGUUCUGUCUUGAAAUUGAAAAAAAAGAGUUAAUUUUCUACCCUUUUUUCUAUCUCUUUGUAAUGCUUAUUCUCUUUAGAUUCCCAAGUUCUCUUAGGUUAGUGCUUCUCUCUCUAUAUCUUUUGUAUGUACUUAUAAAUCUGCUAUUUUCCUCAUCUGGGUUAUCUUUUUUUGGCUGUUUCGGUGUUAUUUAGUGACUCAGUGAGUGGAGAUUUGAUUUUAAGAUAGGUGGAUUCAUUUAUUAGGUUGUUUCUAUACGAGUGAGGAAUCAUUAUUGUACAAGUUCUGAGGGUUUUAGAGAAUUUUUUUGAAUUAAUUUAUUAACUAUACUAUUGUCCUGAUUGUUAAAAAGUAGUCCUUAUUUCUAGGAGGUUAAGGUAGAAACAAAUUUAUAUUGUUGAAAUUGUAUGAUUAAGAUGAGUAUUGGCACAUUGUUGGUAUCGUUGGUUUUGCACAUGCUAUGAUUGAAACUAGAAUAAUAUUUUUUUAAUCAUUUUCACGAGUACUCUUAGUUUGGUAUAAAUAAAUUUCUAGCAUUGAUAAUACUUUAAACUAUGGUGGGAAAACGAAAAUCAAGAGUUGAAAUUAAUGUUGAUUUGAUAAAAUGUGGUGUUAGAUGCUGCUUUUUUACUUGAAUUGCUUUUGAUUGGUCUUUUGGUUAAUUGUUUUUUUUCUAUUUGCAAUAAUCAACUCGAUAGAGAAUGAGUUGAUAAUCUGCGUACUCAGCGUUUUACCUAGUUAUGCUCCAUCUUUACUUGACCUCAACUAAAAUUACCAACAGAUAUGGGUUGACACCAGGAGGUUAGGUGGCUGGAUAUAUGAAGGGGUAGUAGAUUUACAAGUUGGUAGUGGAUUUACAAGUUGGUUCUGUUAUAUAUAUAUAUAUAUAUAUAUAUAUAUAUAUAAAAGAGAAAAGAAGAAAUAGGGGGACGGGAUUUCAUUGGCAUUACUGAUAUAUCAAAUAACCGAUAGAAUUGCUGAUGGAGUUUUUAAAGCUAGACUAGUUUUCAAAAAUUACAAACAAAAACAAGAGAUUGACUUUGAUGAAACCUUCUUGUUGAUAGCUCUAUUAAAGUCCAUAAGGAUUUUGCUUGUUAUAAUUGUAUACUAUAAUUAUGAGAUUUGAUAAAUGAACGUCAAAACUAUAUUCCUGAAUGGGAAUCGUCAUGAAGAUGUAUAUAUGACAUAACCUAAAGGUUUUGAAAAGCUAAUGAAUUUGUCAACAAAGUAUACAAGCUAUAAAAAUACAUUAUAUACUUAAGAAAGCUUCAAAGAGUUGUAAUAUAUGUUUUGAUGAAAUUAUCAAAAAGUUUGAUUUCAUAAAAAAUGUGGAUAAACCUUGUGUUAUAUGAGAUAAUCAAACAAUUUGAUUUUAUCAAAAAUCCAUUAUGAACUUAAUCAUGCUUCAAGGUUAGUGGGAAUUGAGUUAUUUUUAUAAUAUUAUAUAUAUAUAUAUAUAUAUAUAUAUAUAUAUAUAUAUAUAUAUAUAUGUUAUUGAUAGGAAUUCGUUCUUCUACUCUCUUCAUGAAGGAUAUAGGAGAAAUAACCUAUAUACUAGGAAUAAAUAUUUAUAGAGAUAAAUCUAAAAGGUUGUUUGGAUUAUCACAAUUCAGAUACAUAGACUAAAUGUUAAAAUAGUUUAGCUUAGAAGAAUUUAAGAAAGGAUAAUUAUCUAUUUUUGCAAAGAAUACGUCUCUUCAAGUAAAUAUGUUCUAAGACUCAAAUUGAAAGAGAGGGUGGAAAGGAUACCCUAUGCUUUGGCUAUAGGAUCCAUAACGUAUGUGAUGUUUUUUUAGCAUAACGAGUAGAUACCAAUUUAACUCAUGUGGGGUUUACUAAAAGAUAGUUCAAAGCAUUCUUAAGUACUUUAAAAAAAUUAAAAAUAUCUUUUUGUUCUAUGAAGAAGAUGAACUAGUAGUUCAUCGUUAUUCAUAUGCUAGUUUUCAAUCAAAUAUUAAUGAUAGUAAAUCCCUAUAAAAAAUAUUUUUACUCUAAAUUGUGGUGGUGUGAGUUGAAAAAGUUCUAAAUAAAAAAUCACAACAGAUUCUACAACUAAAGUUGAAUAUAUCUCUGCAUGUUAUACAGCAAAAUAGGCUAUUUAGAUUAAGAAGUUUAUCACUGAACUAGACGUAGUUUUUAGCAUUGUUGAUCUCGUAAUUUUGCAAAACGGCUCAAUGAAUGCUUUAUUUUAUGCAUGAUUUUUAUUGUAUUAUUAUCAAUUGAAAGAUGCACCACUCAAGCUCUUAUGAAGAAAAUGGAACGAAAGUUUCACAUCAUAUACCACCCUGGCUAUUUUAUUUAGAGUUGCCAUGAUGGUGAUAUCAGUUGCGGGAGAUAUUUGUGUUAGGGGUGCCUAUGGAAACACCAUGUAUGGAAAAGAAACUACAAAUCAGGAGCAAAACCCAAUCCUCCUGGUUGGUCUAAGCGAUAACUGAUUGUACUUUUAUACAAGUAGAUACUGUAUAGUAACUUGCUCCUGUUAGAACACACAUUACCAGGUAGAAUCCGAUUGCUUCCGUUGCUUUGCAGUGCUGAAAGCAACGUUUCUGCCUUUCUUCAUUGAACAACUAGGAGCACCUAGUUCCAAAUGCCAACCCCCUUUACCAUGUCUACCAUUUACAGAAGUCCUGGCAAGCUCAGGCAGGUGUGUACAGGUUAACACGAGCCGUCCAGUUUCACCAGAUUUCCAAUCCAACAGUGUAAAUCAGAUUUGACAAUUAUAUCCUCCGUAUUUACUGCUUCCAGCUUCCAAUGCAUACACUCAAUCUUUCAACAUCCAUGAAAAACUUUUUUCUCAACCAAACUCCUUGUCCUUGGAAUGAUGUAGCUUCGUUGAACUAAAUUUGAUUUGAAAAGGACUGAUGCAUGACAAUAAGGCCAGAACUCUCCACUUCAACCAGUCAAGGCACCAGAAUAACCCUGCUCUGGCACCCAUCUCGUCCGAGGCGACCACCAUCAUCACAAUCGUAUUAAGUGGCGGAAAUAGGCUGCCGAGAAAUGUUAUUGCUAUUUGCAGGAAGAAAAGGUAUCGUUUUAACGAAGCUACAACAGAUAACUAUUAAUAGACCAUACAUAGCAUUUCAUAAUCUACCAAAGCAAAAUUUCAAGUGCUUCACAACCUCUUGUUUCUACAUGAGUUCAACAUGAAUCACUGCAAAGGUGAAGGCGAAAAUCUAAACAGCAAUUCUGAACUGCAAAGUAGCUUUACUCAUAUCAAAGAAAGAAGUCUCCAUUUGGAACCAAAUAAAAUCAGAUCCUUCAAGAUCACAGCCUUCUACCUCUUCUGCCACCCUUUCUACGAGUGCUAUCCGUUGGAAUUGGAGUAACAUCUUCUGAAACAUCAAAACAAGCCAAAAAGAAAAAAUAAUAUUAGUACUUCCAUAUCCCAUAGCUAACAUAUCUGAAAAAUUAACAUGCAAAAACAAAACCCAAGUCAUACACAAAUUGCUACUCUAGGCAACUAGUUCACUCUAGAAAUUGAAAAACAACAAAAACCAUAAGUUCAAUUAACUAAAAGGUUAAUUGAGGGGGAAUCUGAAGGAGAAAAGGAAAUCUUAUAGUAAAGAAGCCUUCAUUUAAAGCAAGCAGCUUAUAAAUUGAAAUGUAAAACAUUGGUAUAGGAGACAUGCACAAGGGCCAAAAUCCACCAGAGAAAUUUAUCAGAGAAAGUGAUUUGCCAAUAAGCACAGCCUCCAACACAAUCUAGGUGGAUGGACCAAUAAACCCAGGAUUUGCAACAAAAUCAACCGAAGAGGAACAAAACUGAUUGAUACAUUUAUAGAUAAUCUUGCACAAUUCAAAGUCAAACACAGGAAAAAGGACUUGCCUAUGCGGCCAAUUCUCAUUCCAGAACGGGCAAGGGCACGCAGGGCAGACUGUGCACCUGGACCAGGUGUCUUUGUCUUGUUCCCACCAGUAGCACGAAGCUUAAUAUGAAGGGCAGUGAUACCGAGUUCCUGCUUGAUAGGAAUGAAAAACUGGAUAGGUAAUUUUGCAGUUCUACAUAUGAUGCUUCACUAUUUAAAAAAUUCUAAUGCUAAAUAAAAUUGUUCGAUUGUGCAAGUUAACAAGGAUAGUGUCAGAUUUGAAUAUCUCAAAAGGAAAUAAAGCCAAAAGGUUUUCCAUAAAUCACCACUUAAGUGAUUGAUGGCAGGCUCCAAAAUGAGAUCAUGUAUUUAAUAUUUAAAUGAAAACAAAGUGAAGUGCUUCCCAGCUUUAUGUUAAGACUGGAUACAAACUGUAAUUACUCAAGCAAUUACAAAUGGCAUCUCAAAUUCUGGGCCACUCAUGUAAUAUACAGAAAGGGCACUGCUAAACCAAUAAGAUACUAGCCUCGAGUGCCUCUUGACACUGUUGAGGCAGUUUCCUAGGCACUAAAAGUCACCUCAAAGUUAGGGCACUGCAAGAUUGUACAGCUUCCGAUUCAAUGGCAUCUUCUCUUAUGAUCUUUCUAGUUAGCGCAUAGUGGCUUAAUUCGUAUUCAAUGAGAAAAAUCAGUCAUUCAAAACCACUGAUGAAGUAUUUCUUGAAUUAAGUACGGUAGAAAAGCGAGGUAAAGAGAACCUCAAGGCUGCUAGCAAGGGUUAAGGAGAGGCUCUCUCGAUAAGAGCCUUUUCUUAACCUCUCCUUAUGCCUUAUUUCUGAGGUUAUGAGUCUCUUUUCCCUGCAGCUAAACAACGGUAAGAGAGGCAAACCUCUCUCAUUGCGUAUGUAGCUAAGCUCCCGAAGGACUUCUUUCUAUGCCGCUAAUGUAGCUAAUCUGCAUUCUCACUAAUAGCUUACCAUCACAUAAGCAAUAGGUGAAGCACCAAGCUUGGUUUUGGCUACAGGAGUCCAUAUACCAAAAAUGAAAGCAAUCUCCUCUAACCUAUAAUGAAUACAUUAUAAGAACAACAUUUUUUACAAAAGAUUAAGACCUUGCAUCUCUGUGAAACAUCUUGUGCAGCAAGCAUGGCAGCAUAUGGUGAAGAUUCAUCUCUAUCAGCUUUCACCUUCAUUCCACCUGUAACAAAAUGAUUAUCAACUUUGUUAUCCAUACAAUUAGAGUUUAUUGAUUCAUGUGCAUGCAUGUAUUUCUCAAAACCUAUAAGGAAUAAAGCCAUACUUAUCAAACAUACACAAAGCCACAACUCUGUACAAAAGAAAACAUAAAAGUAGCAGAUCAAGCUACAAGCAUCACUCGCACAUACCUACAUCAAUUUUAACUACCCUACACUUGCACAAUAUACAGCAUCUCAUAUAGGUGGAACUCCUGAUAAUUAAUAUAAGAAAAGGCAUCACUUACCAGUUAUGCGGACAAGGGUUUCUCUUCCAGAGAGAUCAGUCACAUGCUGCAGUUGAAACAAUCAAUCAAAGUAAAUAACAAAACUGAACAUCAAGUAAUGCCACUCGACAAGGUAUCAAGAAACCUCUGUUACUCACAAUGAAUGUGUCAUUAAAAGAUGCGAAGAUGUGAGCAACCCCAAAAGCAUGCUCCCCUUCCCUCACGGUGGGUCCAAGGGUCACAUUUUCUUCCUUUGGUUCUCUAGUCCUUCUCUUUGACUACAAAAUCCCUCAUACCAUAACAUAAAAAGCCAAGUACAUUAAAAUUCAAGACAUCUUCCAAAUGCUAAGCAAAGCUUACUGUCUGUCUAAACAAACCACAGCAAUUAACAUACUGUAAUGUUCCAACAUCAGACCAUAAUGCAAAAAAAAAAAAAAAAACCAUAACUGCAAACUUCUUUAGAAUAACACAACAUGCCGAAAUAUAUUCAACUCUGCCCACUUAAUAAAACAGGCUGUUAAUUAACCAACAUCAUACAUUUUUCUCAAUUUUUUCUUCCCAGGAUAAGUUUUAAGUAAAAAAAAAAAAACGUUAGUCGUUCAAAUUCUCCCUCACCAAGGUUCAAUCUUUAAACUCCUAAAAGCAAACAAAAUCAAUAAUUACAUGCUACUUGACAGUGAUUCUACAACAAAAGGGGUAUCGUAAAAUUUGAGUUCCUCAACAAAAUAAAUCUCUCAAAUCAAGAUAACUAAAUACCCUGAUCUUUUCAUAAAUCAAUGUGCGGAUCAAUGGUUAACAAGAACAGUACUAUCUGAACAUCAUAAAACGAAUCAAGGAAAAAGAAGGAUCGGCUUACCAUGGCUGCGAAGAAGUGAGAUUGAGAUUGGUUUCUGCGGAGGCUGUGUUUGGUGAAAUGCGAAAAGAAAGAACCUAUAGUGAAUCGGCUGCGAUUAUAUGAGACGUGGACGGGUUAGGGUAUGACUCCUGCGUGAGACUGUUUUAAGUUUUGGAGUUUCCAUUGAAGCCCUAUAAUUUUAGGUUGAUAGUAAAAGGGGUACCUAUGAAUCGUCUUAUAUCUUUUGUUGUCAUGCUGCUCUCUAUUUUUCUUAUUUUACUAGAAAAGGUACAAAAAUAUUCCCUUAAAAGUUGAGAUGCGCCAAAAAAAAAAAAAUAAACAACCGAUUAAAUCAAAAAAAUAAAAAAAAAAUAACUAGAAGAAUCAAACAAAAAAAACCGAAUUAAUUAAUUAAAAAAUCACAAAAAAAUUCCAGUUUGGUUUGAUUUCGAUUUUUAAAGUCUGAAAUUGAUUGAAUGGAACCGGUUCAACUAGGCCAGUACUUAAAAAAAAAACAAGUAUAAAUAGGAUUUUUUUUUCUAACCCUAACCCUAAAUUAGUAUUCCCUAAAAACAAAAUUAAUCGUCGCCCCUCCCUUUACUCUUUGCGUCUCUCUUCUCUCUGAUUUUCCUCUAUAAUCCACGGUCCAUAAUUGUUAAACUCUGCUCUAUGCUCCUCAAUCUUUCAAUCAAAGGCAUGCCCCUCUUUACUUUUGCUUUUAAUAUUUUUAUCCUUUUUCUUUCUAUUUCUCACAUAAUCUUGUAAUUGUUAUAUAAUUUUUCAUGCUUAUGUAACCGAAAAAGAUUAUAAUGUUGAACCAGUAAAAGGUUUUUUUGUGCUUUCCUUGAUAUUGAUCUUGUAAGGACAACAAUUGGGAAUCAGGUUUGGUUAUUUAUUGAAGAGACCGAGUAUAAAAACAUCAAACACUCAAUCAAUGAUGAGGAUUUAUGUAAACGAUUUGUAAUUGGUUUCCUCUCGUUCAAAUAAUAAUGUUUUGAUGGUUUUACAUUUCAAUAAUAGAUAUCUUUUGAUCUUCCCUUUGUUUUUUGUUUUUUUUUCCGGUCAAAUGACUUCUUUUCUUUCCCAUAAAGUUUAAUUUUUGGGCAAGAAUCUAAUAAAAAGAAAAUUAGGGUUGGAUUCUGGAUAUCAUACAUGCUUAACCGAUUUAAGAAAGAGUCAUGCUUGUUAAGAAAGCCAAUAUUUCUCAUAAAAUAGGCACAAAGCUGUGAAAAUAGAAAUAAGAUGAAAAUAUAAUCCCUAAAAAAAAUAACUAGUGAAAAAACCCCGAAAACAACAGAAACAAGAUGAAAAUAGAAUCUCUGAAAAAUAUGGCUAGUGAAAAAAACCUAGAAAAAAGCUCAAUUGAAAUAAUUUUGGUUUAAACUGGUUUGAAAGGGAAAACCCGAACCAAACAUGGUUGGUUCGAACGUGUUUUCAGUUCGGUUCGAUUCAAAAACUUGAAAAAAUUAAUUUCAUUUUGGUUAUUUAUUUUGACUCAAAACCGAAUCAAACUGAAAAUGUUCACCCCUACUUAAAAGUUAGAAAGAAAGAAAAAGCUUUGUGAAUACGAUGUCGCGCUACACCGUGGAUGCAUGUUUUUCUUUGCAUAUAAAAUAAUGUCUUAAGUACAAGAAGCGUGUUUUAUAAAUUUGUUUUCUUUUAAUUAUAUAUUUAAAAAAAUGAAAAUGAUGGUGAAAAGACAAAAUUUCUAUUGACAAAAAACCAUAAUAAUUUAGAAAAAAAACUUUUGAAGGUAUAUAAUUGGAUAAAAAAGAGAUAAAAAAAAACUCGGCUCAAGUCAAUCCAAAGCAGCGUGAUAGAUAUUUAACUUGGAUAAUAAGGGUGAGCCAACUCAGGUUAACCCACAAAAUUCGUGACUCAGGUUAUAAAAUUAGGAUAACCUAAUAGAAAAGAAGUUGAAGAAAACCAAAAAACUAAUUUUUUUAUUAAAAAAAUAAUGUCGAACAAUAAAAUCCAAAAAGAAAAGAAGUCAUAAAAAAAGGAUGUUGACCUGCAUUAACUUUCCAAACUCAUGGCUCAGGUCAUUAGACCGAAAGUACCAUAUAAAAAAAACUAUAAAAAACAAUCCCUAACAAAUCAAAUGUUAAAAGAUGAAAUCGGGAAAAAAUCAAGUACACAAAAGGAUUUAAAAUAAAAAUUAACAAUUAAAAGAAUAAGAGUGAAAAUAAAAAUAAAAAAUAAAUUAGAGGGCAAUAAAAAAAAAUUAUUAGAAGGUUAAAUUGAAAAGAAAAAAAUAACAAAAAAAAUCAAAAGAAAGAUGACCAAAUUAAAAACAAUACACCAUAAACUUGGAUUGAAAGAUGAAAUUAAAAACCAUCAAAACUUUUACAAAAGAACCAAAGAAAAAAAAUACAAAUUGAAAGAAUAAGGACCAAAUUGAAUAAAACUAUAUAUCAAAAAUUAUAAUUGAAAGAUUAAAUUGAAAAUAAAUGAAACUUUAACAAAAGGAUCAAGGAAAAAAAUUAAAAAACAAAAGAAUAAGGUUAAAAUUAAAAUAUCAAGAACAAAAAGGACUAGCUUGUAUUUUUUAGGAUAGGAGAGAGAGAGAGAAAAAAAAGGUCAACCGGCAACAAACCACCACAUUGUCACAUCAGGAAGAAAAGGAUGCAUCGACACAUCUAACGGCACAACAAAAGAGCAUUUUCUUCCAUUGAGAGGUGCUGCUCAUGCUAUCCAAAAUACGUAAGUGCCUCCCACACAUCGACGCAUACGUUGCACAUGCCACCAACUUUUUGAAAAUAAUUAACAUUCAAUCGAUGUCAAAAGACAAGAAUACCUUUUAACACCUUGAUAAUUACAAAAAAAAAAAUGAAGGAAAAGACCAAAAGGCUUAUGAACCUAUGAUUUUAUUUUUUUAACCCAAAGGCAUAUUUGUCAAUUUAUUGUACAUGGUUAAAAGAAAAGAUAUUUCUACCCUUUUUCACCAAUUUUAUAAUCUUAUGAUUCUAGGGACAAUUAGAUCAUUUUAUUGUGCUUAAAAACAUGAAAAAUACAAUUAUACCCCUGAAUAAUCCUUUAAUAAUUAAUGCACCGUAUGAAAAGACCAAAGCACCCUCAACACAAAAACAAUUGGGUUUUUUAGGAAUGGUGAAAGUCAUUUUACUAUUGUAGUGAAUUGUACACUGAGUUUAGGUGCACAAUACGGGUCCAUAAUAUUUUUGCCUUAAGCUUUAGUUUUUAUAUUUAACAAGAUAUAUAGGACUUGGUCAUUUCACUGUAGCAGUAGAAAUUGAUUAUUGUGGAUUGCUACAAUGAAAUGACUAUUUUUCCCUUGAGUGAAAAAAAAAAUAUGAGCCUUAGUUGUGGGGUGCUUUAGUCUUUUUCAAUGGCUCAAUGAUCAUUAAAAGAUUGUUCGGGGGUAUCUAAGUCUUUUUCAGUUUUCUUGCAUAAAAAUAUGUUUUUACACCCGAAGUCCAUAAAAUUUAAAGCUAUUGAUCAAUGGUUGUUUUGACUUUUUAUAAACUUUUAAAUGGUAAAAAUACUUCUUUGCUUCCGUGGUAAAAAAAGGCUGGGUUGUUAGACAAGGGUUUACUGGCUCGAUUGACCUGUCUAAACGUGGUCUCAAUUCGAUCAAGUUAACACUAAGAAUUUUUUUUCUUCAAAAAGAAACAAAAUAACAUCGUUUUGAUAAAAAAAAAUAAUUUAUCCAAAUUGAUUUGAUAACCUAUUAAUUGACUUGACAACCUAAUAAUCGAGUCUUUUUUUGGGUCAGACCUCCUAACAACUAUGGUUUUUUAUGAGUUUGAUCGAUAUUUAACCAAGUCAAUAGCAAAAUGAUCCACACCUUAAGUGAGGACUAGUCUCAUAUUAUUAGGUGUGAUUGUUACAUGUUACUUGUUUUUUAUGUUUAUUUACUAAUAAGAAAAUAAGUCAAAUAAAAGAUUUUAUAGCCAAUUUAAAGUUUAAGGAAUAAAAGGCAUAAAAUAUUUUAUAGUAGAGAAAGCACAAAAAAAUAUAGUUUCAAUUAUAUAUAUAUAUAAAAAAAAACACUAAAACAUAAUGUUCUUUUACUAUGUAAGCAUUGUUUCCCUUCUCACAAAAUCAUUUUGGAUGGCAUUGCUAAUUCUAUAUUGACUAUUUUUUAUUUCUGUCCAUGAAUUUUAUUUAUUUGCUAUUAUAUCCUUGCAAUUGAUUUUGGCAUCGAUUUAUAUGUUAGGAUAAUUAGUUAAUCUCUUGAUUCUAGCAAUCUGAUUCAUUCUCACUUGAUAGGGUAAAUGGUAGUCGGUGCUUGAUACUUGUAAGAAGUCCUAUUUUGUGGAUUUGGGGACUCUUUAAUGCUUGAGUAAGUAUUUUUUGAGAAAACAUUUAUUGAUAUUUUAGAGAGAGACUCUAAAAUAAAUAUGUCAUGUAGAAUAAAGAUUCAGGAAGUACCUUCUAAUGAUCUAAUAGGUCUUUAUAUCCCAUCUUUCUUAUCUUUUUAUUGUGGGAAGGACUAAAAGGUUCCAUUUUUUUUUUAUAGAUUUCAAUCCUCUUAUGUCAAAGAGAGAAAAUAUCUCUAACUCGUUAGAGGAGAAAAUAUCUCUGAACUUAUUAGAGGAAAAAUUUUUUUUGACUUUAUCAAAGAGAAAAUAUCACUAACUUUAUUAGAGAGAAAAUAUCUUUAUAUGUGUGUGGACUUAGCGCUUAACUGAGCCCAUAGAUAUCGGGUCUGGCAGUUCAUCAAACUUGUAUAUUUUUGGGCACAACGCUUAGCUGAACUCAAAGAUGAUAGGUCUGACAGUUUUCUAGACCCGUAUAUGAUUGAGCUUAACACUUAGUUAAACCUAGGGAUGAUAGGUUUGACAGUUCUCUAGACUCGUAUAUGCUUAGGCUCAGUGAUUGGUUGAACUCAAGAAUAUUAAGUUAUAACCCAGCCUUUGGUUUCUUUAAAUGAGGAUCCAAGAAAAAAAAAGUAGAAAAAAAAACAUGUUGAUCCAUAAAUUAUACAUAAAUUCUUAAGGUGUUCUUGUAUCCUCUAUACAUGCCUUGGAUUCACAACUUAAUGGCCUUUUUUUCAUCAAAGAUUUCCUAGACAUCUAGAGAUGGUUUCAAACCAUUCGAUAUAUUCUAGCAAACCCUUUUUAUAUCCUUGACAUUCUUACUCUAGUUCAAAGAUUUCCAUCAUCUAAUAGAUGAAGAAAUACUUCUAAGCAAAUAGCCUGCAUAUACUUACCUAUAUAUGCAUAAAGAUAUGUGUCAUUCACAUACUAGGUGUAUGUUUUCUUAGUUAGUGACUAUGAAAAAUUCUUUCAAGUUCAAAUCAUCAUCUAAGCCAUAAACAUCUAGGGUCUCUCUAUAACCUUUAUAAGAUAUUAUGUGACAUCCUCUUAUUUUCUAUUAGAAAUAUUAUAUUUAGAUUUAACUUAGUUUUUUUUUUGAUAAAUCUGCUAGUAGAUUUUGCUAGCUUUUACUUAAAUAACAUUUUAAAAUCUCUUUAGUGAGAUAGUGAUGUUGAUCACCAAAAAUACUUAUAAUGAUUUAUUUUGUGUUCAUAGCAUGGUGGGUGUUUAAUGGUUGGAUGUUUCCCCUAUCAUUUAUUUGAACAAGUGGUAUAAGCAUCCUCAACAGGCAUCAUUAUUUAAAGGAUAAUGGUUUUAGAUAGUUUUGUCAUAAGAAGUAGUUGAGUGAUUCUAUUGAGAACUUGGAUGAAUAUAGGAUUUUUAUUAUUGGGGACUUCAAGGUUUAUUGUUGAUCUUAUUGUAUAUUAACAUGAGUUUCUUGAAAGAUUUGUAGGAUAUUAAUCAUGACCGAAAGACCUGGAUAUAAGGUUGUUAUGGAAUAAACAUAAUCACGGGGUCAAGGCAGGCCAUCUCUUAAGGUGUUGGCAAGCUACCACUUUCAUUUUAGAAAAUUUAUUUGUUAUUAUUACCCUUAACAUUGACAAGGUUAGUGUUGUCUACAUUCUUAUUAGGAUCAAGUAAAGUCACAUCACCAUUUUGUAUGGAUAUGUUGAUUGUAGAAUUAUCAUUUUUCUUGGUGGCCAUGGAAAGAAGCAUUGUUUUUUCACAAUCACUAAUUCCCUAGUGGAGUCCCCAAAAUGUGUGUGAGGAUUGUUGAGAUACUAAGAACUAGUGUUGUAACUUAUAGAGCAAUAAUACAUCAACUAAGAAAGUGUAAGUAAGUGGAAGAUCGUGAAUAGAAAAGGUUCAAAUAGAUUAAACCUUAAAAGUUGUGUGUUGUGAGAUCUUAGAAAGAGUUUUAAUUAGCAAAAAAAAUCAUAAAAUCAAUAAAAAAUCAAAAGAUCCAAAAUAAAAAGAUCUCCUCACAAUGUUUUGAGGUUGGUACUUAUAAUGAAAAGAGGAUGUUCUUGACCACUAAAUCAUAUCACAUCAUCUAUUUAUGAAUGGUCAAAUUUGAACAUAUAAAAGAAAACGAGUCAUUUUGGGCUAAACUCCUUUAACUUUAUAGAAAAGGCUAAUGCCCCGUUUGUUUCAUGGAAAGUGGUUUUCUGGAAAUUAUUUUUUAAAUUUCCUGUGUUUGUUUGUCAUUAUAAAAGUUGGUCGACGGAAAACAUUUUCCAAUCAAAGAAAAAUUUGCCUUGAUUUUCAGGAAAGUGUUUUCCUUUUAUUUUGGGUGAAAACCACUUUCCAGAAGUUGUGAAAAUUUAAAAAUGUCAUGUUAUUUGCUGAUUAUAUCAAAUUUGGUCCUCAAACUUUUGAUUGCUAUAUAUUUUGUUUUGAAUUUUUUUUUCAAUUUCAUCCCUUAAAAUUUGAUUUAAUUUAAUUUUUAUAUCAACUUUGAUCCUUAUUUUUAUGAUUGUUAAUUGCUUUUCUAUUAUCAUUUUCUUAAUUGAAAUUUUUUAUCUAUCAAAUUUGAUUCUCAUUCUUUUGAUUUUUAUUUAUUUUAUUUGAAAUAAUUUAUAAAAUUAUAAUUUUUUUUAUUUUAUCAUCUUUCAAUUUUUUUAUAUGUUAGAUUUGAUCUCUAUUAUUUUAAUUGUUAUUUAUUUUAUUUGAGAUAAUUUAUGAAAUUAGAUUUUUUUUUAAUUUUAUUCUCAUUCAACUUUUUAAUUUAUAAAAUCUGUUCCUCGUUAUUUUAAUAAACUUGAAAAAAAUAUUAAUAAUUUAUUUUCCAGCUCAUUUUCCUUAACAUAGCUAAACACUGGAAAAUAUUUUCCAAUUUAUUUUUCAUGAUACCACCAAACAUCGAAAAAUAAUUUACUUUUCAUGAAUUAAUUUUUUAAAAAAACUACAUUUCAAAAAAAAAAUUAUUUUUCAACAAACAAAUAAAAAAUAAAAUCAACUUUGUUUUAGCCAACUAUGCUUAGAGCCCACCAAGUCAAUCAGGAUAAUACAUCUAAAAAACAAGACAUGGACAGUAGUCCUACCACAAUACAUGUGCCCAUCCUUGCGCUACUUGAACCCUAUGCUUGGCAAAGCCAUCUCCUAUUCAUCUGGUGUGCAACUUAGAUAAAUGCCGAACCAGAAAAAAAAAAAAAAAAAACUCUUGAAUUAGUUCAUAAUAAAUUAAUUAAAUUUUUUAAAUUUUGGGGACAAAUCAAAUAUAUAAAAACCAAAAUAAAAUUUCUAAAAAACAGCAUUUAAAAUUUUUUCAAAGCAAAUCAAAUCUACAAAAUGUUCCCACAAAAUACUGACACGUUGAACGAUAAAGUGAUAACAUGUGGAUCCUACAAAUGCAGAUAAUUGGUUAAAUGCGCUGUUUAUUUUCGCAGCCCAAGAAUAAUUUUUUAAAAAAUUGAAUUUUUAAUUAAAAUUAAAAUUUUUAUAAUUUUAGAUCGUUAUAAAGUUUUAAUAUUAGAAAUAAAAUAACAGAAAAAAUUAUUUUAACAUAUUAAAAAAAAACUUUAAAAAAUAAUGUAAAAUAUACCCAUCUAUAUUCCAUACACCCAUCUCAAGACUCAAUAUCACUGUUGCGAUAUUAUCAGCUCCCAUCUCUCUCAUGUAGUUUUAUUUUGGUCUUAGAGCUCGUAAUCUACUUGCAAUUACAGGGUCCAAGGCGCCAAGCACGAAUCCAAAUCAUUUGUCUUGAGAAAAUUCUCCUCGGCUACAUUCCCCAGCUAGAUCACAGAAUCGACACAAGUUAGGAUUUUUCUCUUCAUCCUUAAAGUUAUUUAUAAUUGCGAAAAAACGGCACCAAACUACUAAUUGAAUGGUUAUAUGUUCUUAGAUAAGCUGCUGCAGAUUGACUCGCAAAUUUGGGAUUACCAGAGAGGACCACCAUUUUCACAUCCUCCACUACAUGGGGAUCGCCACCCUCCACCAGGAUGUUUAUGUACAGCUUAUCUAAACAUAAUGCAGGAGAAAAGAUGGAAUAUUUCCCAACAUCAAAAGAAGCUUAAUGAUUUCUGUUAACAAACAAACAAAUCAAACCCGCCCGCUGCCGCUGCCGCUGCAGCUGAAGUGACAGGCGUUAGAAGGAAGAAAAAAAAUAUUACACGUAUUGGCCCCAAAGAUAUGGUCUGGACUAACACCCUACAGUUAAAGAGAAAUGUCCAAUCCUGACUCAAUGUGCCUCGAGAUCUACUACAUCUCUACCUGAUUCUCUAAAUCAUAUUUACAAAAAGCUUCGGUUUAAAGGGAAGAACUCCAAAAGAAGAAGAAAAAAAGCAUUUGGAAAAUUAAAACCUAGCGCACUAACUGCAAAAGUGAUAAGAAGAAAUGAGCAAAAAUGCUUCAGAAACUAUGCAGAUAUUAGACCUACAUACCCAGCAAACAGAGCCAGCACUCCAGAUAUAACAUAAGCCCCAGCAACAAUGACUGGUUCCUUUAGCCCACAUAACUCGAGGUGGUGAUGAAUAGGAGCCAUCCUGAACAAACGGCACCCAUCUCCUCUCAUGCGUUUGGUUGUCUUGAAGUACAGCACCUAAUGUAGGUAAUGGUUAGAUUGGGAUAAUCACUUUCAAAUUAACAAAACCAUCACCGUUCAUUUCAUAGGUCCAGCAGCUGCACACGAAUCAAAAACAGAAUUUCUUCGUUGUAGCAGCAUCACGUGAAAACAAAAGUAGGAGGAAAAUUUACAAUGAAGUAUACUGCAACCUAUCCAUUUAAGCUCUUUUACUCCUCUUGCAUUGUAUCUAAUAGAUGACAGCAAAGAAUACAAGGUACAGGUGCAUCAGCAAAAUACUGGAAGUUGCUAAAGAAGAACUAAAUCAAAGUUGGCAAUGCACAGGAAAAAAUACUUCCCAGAGAAUUAUAAUCCAUGGAAACAUCAUCAAAAGAACUUGAAGGCAAUAUCAUCACAAAUAUAUGUGGCUUGGACAAAAAUAAAAUACAACUAAUUAAGACAGAAUUAAAAGUUUAACAUAGCAUGAUUUUUGGUUUAUCAACACAGCAGAGCACAAGAGCUCUAUGACUUGGUUUAUAAUUUGACAAGAAAGUACUGAUCUAGAAGUAUGCCUCUGAAAAUGUUCACUAGAAAUCCACGAAGCUAGUAGGAUACCAAUCACCAUUUGGGAGGAUUGGUAGUGACCACCUGCUUUAAGCAAGUGGCUAGGGUUCAAGACCUCAGACCUUACCCUACUCCUUCCCUUGCAAGACCAAAAAAACAAAGUAGAAAUAUAGGAUCUACAAAACUAUUUACUCCAAGAAUGAGGUCUUCUGUCGAUCCAUCUCAAACUUGCAGCAACAUCGUGUUUCUAUCUCCUUUUUAUAGUUCCUGAAGCCUGAUUGAUAUUCCACUACCAACUUUACAGAAUCAUUUACGUGUUUUAUAAGAUCAGAUAUAAGCAGGCAUAACUUACAAGGUAAAAAAUACACUGUAGGAGAGGACACAAGAAAUUGACAUCAAUGACAAUAAUUACAGAAUGCACUAGGUCAUGGAACGCAGAAUGAAAGCACAUGACUACAUAGGCAUAUAAUAAAUAAUAGCACUGAUCAUGUGUAGAGAAAAAUAAUUGACAUCAAUGAUAAUAAUUACAGAAUGCACUAUGUCAUGGAUCGCAGAAUGAAAGCACAUGACUAGGCAUAUAAUAAAUAGUAGCACUGAUCAUGUGUAGAGAAAAAUUCUUCCCGAGAAAGAAGAAAUUGUGUUUUGUUCUAAACAAAGAAAACACAUAGCACUAAUCAUGUGUCGAGAAACAUUCUUACCAGGAACAAAGAAAGUGUAUUUUGUUUGAAAUGAGGAAAAGAAAACAUUGUCAAAUUCGGAACACCAGAUUUGCCUACAUUUCUUGAUUAGAACUUCCUUGUGUUGUCAUGGUAAAGGGACAAUUUUCUAUCAUUGAUAGAUUAUAUAUCAGUGUCAACAUUUAUGUAUACCUGCAUAAUCACUGAUGAUGCAUCCAAGAAAAAGAUCCCAGAUGAGAUAAAUAAUGGAAGGAACAUUCCACUACAAGCAGCCAUUGCAGCUAAUGCUCCACCCAAUGCCAAGGAUCCAGUAUCCCCCAUAAAUACAGAAGCCUUGUACCGGUUGUGCAACAGAAAACCAAAACAGGCCCCUGCCAUCGAUGCCCCAAAUAUAGCAAGUUCUGAUUUGGAAUGUAAAACAAGAAUUAAUACAAAUAAGUUUACAGAAAAGGGUAAGAUCUCAAAACAAUGAAUUAAUAGUUCCAACAUAACAUUUUGAAGAUCAUACUCCUUCCCAACAUUCAAUUGCACACCUAGGCAGCACAUCAUUGCUCAUGAUGGAUGUCAUAAGCCAUCCACUUUGUCAAAUUCCUCGAGGGGCUCAAAUGGAAAAGGUUUAAAAAUAUGGUACAAAAGUUAACAAGCAUAUUGACUUGUUCAUUUAGCUCUAAAUGAUCUGAUGGACUAUUGGUGUUGGCAUGCAAUUGCAUUUUGCAGUAGUUAGUAAAAUAUAAAGAAGAAAUCUGCUUCUAUAUAUAACUACGAGUUGACGAGCUAAUUUUCUCGCUAUGGUAUCAAAUGAAUUCACACACAUUUGUCAAGUGAUUGCUUCAUAAGACACUAACUUGACGCUGUUCAUCUUUUCAUGGUAAGAUACAAGGGUUGAACAAAAUUAGGCGAUUACAAAGAUUCCCUCCAACUUACAUGUGAUAUUUAUCAUGCCUGCCUAAUAAUGUAAACUGCCUCUGCAAAAUGCAGGCGGGGCCAUAAUUGACUUCGAAUUACAAAGAACAAUGUUAAUUUUUCUGAAUCUACCGAUGGAAUUAGUGUGAGACCCACUCAUCCAAUGCUCCAACUUUUCUGGGGAACUGACUCUACAACUAGACUUAGGUAAAAUUAGCAUUUUUAAUUACUAAUGGUGGGCUAACCCAUAAACUCAUCUCUCAUCAACAGUCUCACUGAUUCUUCAACAUACAAAAUAGCCAUAAAUCUGGUUUCCCCUACAACAAAAAUCAGAAAUUCUUGAAGAGGAAAUGCAAUAUCAAAGGCUGACUAGAUUAGGAUUCUAUCCAGCAUGCUUUGGGCUUUCUACAGCGAUUUUAUAUCCAAUUGCUUGGGCUUACAGCAUAUAAAAGGAAAAGAAGAAGAAAAAGAAGAAACUGAAUUCCAGAACAGGUGUAAUGUUUAUAGUUCCCAUUGCUUAGCAAAUUUCCCUUUCCUGUUUUAACUUCUUAACAGGAAUAACGUUUAUCAAAUGUCACUUUCCAGAUCUUUAGAGGAAACUUCCCAAACCUUCUGGAUUUUCAAUUAUACUGAGGCUUAAGUUCAUUAACAUCCAUACUAACCAGGACAUAUUGGCAACACUGCGAUCGACAUUCCUACAAAAGCCAAUGCAGCCGUUCCAGCAGCCAGGCCGUCUAGACCAUCCGUUAAGUUAAUGCCAUUUCCCAUGGAAACAAAACAAAAUGAUGUCAAUAAAGAAUAAUAUUUUCCUAGGCAUAUGAGGCCCAGUGGUGCAGGUAGGGCAACCAGCAUUUUCCUGUAGUACAAGACAUCAAUGGAUGAGAAAAGAAAAAUGUUGAGAAUAUUUCAAACAAGCUAACUUGACACUAAUAAUUAAUAUGUUGAAAUUCUACCAUUAUCACAUAUUAUAUCAUUAAGUGAUUAACAUGAGAUGACAUAUCAAUUCAACCAAGUUUUUCCACAGUAGUUAAUACCAUCGAAAAACUUCAAAGAUACAGAACUAAAACAUUCCAAUAUAUGCUUUUAGAAAAUUCAUGAUAAACUUCAAAAAUAAAUUUAAUAUAUGUUUUUACAAAUCUUUUAAAAGAACUUCAAUAGAAACCAAACUAGAAUUUCAAUUUUGUGGCAGAGUAGAUGUAGCAACUUGGAACAAUCAAAAUUUACGUUGCUAGACAAUUAUAAAUUUCCUGCAUUGAAUGCCCAAUGGCCUUUCAAUCUUGAAUAGCAAACAAAAUGGAAGUAAUUAAGUUGCUCCUUACUGUACUAAUAUAGAAUAUUAUAGUGGCAUUAGAAACUCUAUAAUUUGCUAAAAAUGAAACCGUAAGAACUACCUAAUCUUUAUUCAUUUAUUUUAUUUGAGUCAGGAACAAUAUUUCUACUUCAAAACAGGUAGCAUUACAAUUGGUAUCUGAUCACAGAAUCUCUAAUUACAGCAUAAAAUGUUAAUUAAUCACAAAAAAAGCUGCAUCCUCCCUUAAACUUUUCAUCACAAGAUUAGAUAUGUGAGUUACCAUCAUAAAAAUGUUGAUCAAAUUAGUAAUAAGAAUUUAUACAUGCUGUAGGGUGAUGAUAUACUCGUAGUAUGCAACCAAAAUGAAAAGCAGGUCCCAACAGCUACCUGAAAAAUACAUGAGCAGUUAUCUCUUGCAAGAAUGUUAUCAAAUUUAACAUUGGAAGCAAUUAACUAAAUAACUUUUACCUCCAAAAAUAUUUUCACCCACACAGACAAACCACUAUUUCGAUUUUUUAUGACGGUUACAAUGUCAUCUAGUAAGCCAAUUGUUGCAAAUGCCAGAGUUGCCACUGCUGUUCCAGAAACUUCAACAGAAGAGAAACCAGCAACAAAUUUUGCAACGCCUACACCAAUUGGUACAAAAAAUAGUCCACCCAUUGUGGGGCUUGCCCUUUUCUUGGAGUGCCGAAGUGGCCCUUCUUUCCAGAUAUUCUGAUGAAUUCUUAACUCACUAAGUAGUGGAACACAAAGAUAACCCAAAAAAGAGACUAGAACUGCUGAUAUAAAAAAUGGACGACACAAGUAAAAUGGUUCUAGGGGUAAUCUGACAAUCUUCCAUGCACACCAAUCAACAAAUAAGAGAAGAACCGUCAAAAAGGCUAGCAGACACAAAUUAAUUAAUGUCCCGAGUUUGUUCCUGCAAUUGCAGUAUGAAAAGAACUAGUCAAACCAAAGUAAUGCAUAUAGAAUUCAUGAAAAAGAAUCGACUGAAGUAUCAUCCCCUACAAACAUGGAAACUCUCAACUUUCCAAUUAAGUGCACAUGUAAUCUCAAGAAUAGAGGCAAACUUGGCCAGCGAAAAACCAAAUGGAAAAAAAGUUAAACAUCACUAAUGGAAUCUAGACAUGCCCUUUUACAGCUGCAACUAGAUGAAUUUCCUAGGAUGGACCUUUAUAAGGUAUAGCAUUAAAAACAUGAGAUUCAACUAAGGAAUUUUUGCACUGAGUUUUGAUGCCCAGAUACGGUACAGUGCAAAACAACAUCAAAUAGGAUGAGAGGUCCUAGGACUACAAAGCCUUGAUUGCAGUGAAAUUUCUUUAAACAUCCAAAAGCAAUCAAGCUAUUUCAAUCCAUGUGCGAGACUGAUUUUGCAUUAAAGUGUCAGUGACAACCUGCAACAACCAAACAUUUUAGGCACAAUAGUGACCUUAACCCCAUUUUAGCACAGCUGACAAAGGUUAACAAGAAGUUAUAUACCCUUGCUAACCCAGGGCUACAAUUACAUCGAUCUUGUUUUCCUUUUAAUUUUUUUUUUCACUGCCCUAUUCACUCUCUAAAAUCCAUAUAAACCAUAAGAGUUUCAUUUUGCGUAACAAUGCAGCACACUUGCCUACGUUUUCGGGGGGCCCUCCCAAUCAUUGCAAGCCUGUGAGCUGUAAGUGUGAGAGCAUCAUUAGUUGAUACUUUAGCAGUAGGCAACUCCAUAUCCGUCACCGGAUUUAUAAUAUAUUCUCCAUCACUGUCUUCCCCGUCACUGGAUAAUAGCAUGUAGCCAGCAGCCCCAUCAUUGUUAGCCCAGUCAUCAAGCGGGGAGGAUACACCAGACAAGUCCUAUAAAACCAAAAUCGAAAGCACUGAGAAUCACAAGAACUGAUUGCUUGCAGGUAAUGUAUCAUGUGCAAAACUAGUGAGAAAUGGACAUUUGGAUAGAUUACAUACCUCAUCAAAGGCCCUGACUUGGACAAUCUUAUGGCGCAAUCGUCGUCCUCCAGCACUUGAUCCAUUUAACUGCACAAAUUAGUCAGUCAAUAAUCAAUUAUCUAGUUUCCAAAUUCAUUUCCGGCAUGGAUGUUUAAAUAAUUGUUAUGCAUUAAUAAUUUAUUUUUUAGAAAAAUUGAAAAUAAAUAAAUGAAAAAAUAAAAGGAAGAAACUGACCUUGAAGUUGUGGAAUGAAUUAGAAUAAAGGGGAGAGGAAGAAAAAGGUUUUGGUGGUCGAGAAAGCCGUAUACGAGAGAGGUGAUGGUGGUGGUUUAUAGAAAGCAUGACUAGUCCAAAGGAAAAAGGAAGAGCAGGAAUAAUUACAGUAAAUGAAAGCAGAUGGUUAGAUCCAAAGGAGAAGGAGGAGGAGUUUGGUGAGAGAAGAGAGGCCAUCAAAAGAAGAAGAAGAUGCAAGGGCGUGUUUGUGUUCGUGUUCGUGUUCGUGUUUCUUUCUGAAGAGGGAAGGUGAAAGACGUGAUAUAAAUUCUGCUUCGAAAUUCCCGCAACAUCUGACAAGGUCUGUUUUUGCCCUGUUUGAGACCACCCUCCUCCUCAUCCUGCUAUUGUUAUUACUAGUUUAGUGCCACAUGAAAAUAUUUUUUUAAUUUAAACAAAAAUGUUAAAUUUUUUUUAUUAUUAAAUUUGAUAUACAGAGUUAAUUUUAAAAAUAAAAAGUUUAAAAUUAAAUUAUAUAUUCCAUCAUAAUUUAUUUAAUUUUAAAAGUAAUGAGUUUAAAAUUAAAUUAUACAUGAGUUUGUCUUGAAGUAAUUCAUUUCACUUGACAUCUUUGAAAUCUUUGAAGACAAUUUAGAAAACUUAUGGUCUGGUUUAAAAAUAAAUUAAGAUAAUGUUUUUUUAAUAUUAAAAUGAUAAUAUAUUAAAUCAAUUUAUAGCUCAUAGUUUAAUUCGCUAUACUUGUAUUUUCAUAAAGUUCAAUGAUUUUUUAAAAAAUUAUUUUUUAUUUAAUUAUAUUAUAAUAAAAAUAAACAUCUAGGUUAAAAAGAAAAAAAAAAAAAAACAGGGUUAAAAUAUUUUAUCAAGGGUGUGUUGUAACCACAUUAUCUCAUUAAUUUAUAUUCAAGUUGUACUAGUUUUUUUUUUUUUAUUUAACGUGGAUAUCCGGACCAGCUUGCGCACACCUCGACUAAUCCCAUGAGCAAAUUGUACUAGUUUUGAUAUGGGUUGACGCUGUUAUGUUUUUGUUUUUGUUUUUAUUGUCUUCCAAGGGGUAGAUAGCAUACACGGAGCUCACCCAUUGGGUGCGGUGCAGAACCAUGUUUUGGUUUGAAAAUUUUAUACCUUGUGAUUUUCUGUUAACCUCAUUUGCCAGUUCCUAAUCUUUAAUUAGCUGGCCUCAUUUGCCAGCACAUUCCGGGACACAGGCGAAUUACUUGGCAAGAGCUUGGGCGAUCACCGAGCCAAAAUCACAAGUCAAAUCUUGUUCCUGGUGAUCUGCCCUGACGAAAUCUGUUGCUCAAGAGCGCGCUCCUAGUGCCUUUAAUCAAUGUUCCUUUGAGCAGAAUCAAUCACAGAGAAUCCCAGAAAAUACAUUUUAACACAGAACAAGAGGGCAUUAUACCACAUUAAACCAGGCCCUGUGUUUCCAAACAAUUGCUUUCCAGAACAAUACAUUUAGAGAACACAUGUAUCAACGAGUCAAAUGCAUGUAGUACUACAACUCCUGAAGGGUUGCGUUUCUACCAAUACGCAAGCACAGAACAUGAGCCUGUACUUGAUAGUUCGUAAUCAAAAUGGCACCCAUAAGAUCAACCAACAAUCCAGCAGAGAGAUUAGGAUAGUUAUCCUUCCAUGCAAUUCAAACACCACUUCCAUCUCCCAUGCUACUGCAAACCACAAGUUAUAAGGCACAUUUUAUACAAGUGUAACUGUCAUAUGGUUUCCUGGCUUUGAUUAGGUAUGGGAGGUCGGCCUCGUCCCACCGCGAAUCCCCUGGUUCCAUCAGGCAUUUUUGGCCCAGGAGGUGCUUUCGAGAAUUCAACAGCAUUAUAGGAUGUAGUUCCAUGGCCUGGUAAAAAUAAAACAAAUGAUACCAAUUCAUUGUUAUGUAUAAAUGCAAGAUAUCCUUAAACUUGUUAUAAUUUCAUGAACAUAAUAGGUUUUCUAAUAAAAUUGAGCAGUAAUCUAUAUAUAACAUUUUCAUAUGAACUAAGUAGAGAAAAUUAAAUAAACAAACUCUUUCUUCUCCUUUUUUAUUUCUUACAAGUUUAAAAACUCAUGUUGCCUUCUCAAUUGAACUGUUUAAUCUAUUUUCAAAUACUUUUAUACACCAUCACAGACAUAAUAAAAAACCCCUAACUAAUUUUUUCUCCAGCUCUUUGACUCACAAACUUCCCGAUUUAAACACAGAAAUUUAUAAGCAUUUACUUCUUUUUAUCUUCUUUUAAGCUUCCAAGUGUUAAUUAAUUUUCAAUUUCAAAAGUUUUGUUCCUAUUUAUACUUUGGUGAGUGACCUAAAGAAAUCCAUAGACAUACUUUAUAAAACAAGCCAAUAUUAUUAAGGCUUCGUUUGUUUGCCAUAAAAUAGUUUCCUUUUGAAAAAUAGUUUCCAUGAAAAGUGAAUUUAUAGAACAAUAUUUGACAAUAUUAUGAAAAAUAAGCUGGAAAAUGUUUUAUAGUGUUUGGUUAUGCCAUGAAAAAUGAGCUGGAAAAUCACUUAUUAAUGUUUUUUUUAUUUUUUUUUCAAGUUCAUCUUAACAUGUAUAGAAUAUUAAAUUUAACUAUUUGACCACUUACAAGAAAAGAAUGAGAAAAAAAAAAUAUAAUGGUGAUUUAUUUUUAUUAUAUCAUAUAUUUAUAUAUAGUUUAUUUUAUAAUAUGUAACUACUAACUAUACAUAUAAUAUAAAUAUUUUAAAUAUAAUAUUAUAGAUAUAUAACCAUUUUUUGGUGUUCGGAGAACAAUAUAACACAAUUUACAUGAUUUAAAAUGAACAAGUAUUGUAUAAUAUAACAUGUUUCAUAUUCAAAUGUAUUUUCUAGUAAUAUUAUAUAAAUUAAAGUAUCAUAUGCACUAAUAUAUCAAAUUAAUAUACUUUCAUAUUGUAUAUUAAUAUACCCUAAUAUAUUAUUUUCUAUAUAAUAUUAUAUUUUAAAGUGUUUUAUUAAUAAAUUAUUGUUUAUAUAUAUAAAAGAAUAAUGAAGUAUCAUACCCCUUUAGUUUUUGGGUCUUUCAUGAAAAGUGUUUCUAAUCUUUUAAACGGGAAAACACUUUCCUCCUCCAUCUAAAGCUUAUGUUUUCUUUAACCAAAAAGUGAAUGUCGUUGAUCAAUUUUCACAAUGUAACUAAAUAAGAGAAAAUAUGGAAAGUGCUUUUCAAGAAAACAUUUCAUCAAACAAACAAGGCCUCAAACAAUUACCAAUGAAUUUCAUGGUUUGAAAAUAAUUUCUUAAAUUUUUGUGUCAAUAAGAUUCUUGAAUGGUGAUUAAAUAAUGCAUACUUAUCUCUAUUCAAGUAUAGUUUAAUCUCUCUCUUAAUACAUUGAAUAAACAAGGCCCAAAACGUUAGACAUGUAAUUUUUUUUAUUAUUGGUUGAAUAAACGUGUUCCACAAACUAAAAUUUUGUAAAUGUGGGAAGAAAAAAUAAAAGAAAAAAUUAAAUUAAUUUAGGAAAGAUUUUUUUUGUUGUUGUUAAAAUAGGUGUGUAUAGGUUUGCAAGAAAGAUGAAAAAGAAGAUGUUAAGAAAUAAAAAGACUGUCGAUAGCUCAGGAAAGAGAAUGACAUAUAAUAAUUAUAUUUUAACAUAACCUAAUAUUUUAAACACUAUUAAUUAAUUUAUCAAUUACUAAACUAAUAUUUUUCACUUUUAAGCUUUUAUAAAUCAUAUGAAUAUAUUUCUAAUGUGAAAUUCUUGUAUUUGGUUAUUUAACUAUUUUUUUAUAUAAAAAAAAAAAAAAAUUGAACAUCACAUGUGCCAAAGUAACUAGUAAUAAAAAAGGAGGAAAAAAGAAAAUACAAAGUGGCCAGUCUAAAUACCCAUCCCAUUUGUAACACGAAAUUUGUUCUUUCUUGAUCGCCCUCGAUUUCCACCUUGCUGACCAUUUUUCUCCUUGGAUAUAUGCUCCCCAUCCUGAAAUGAUAUUUGAUGAAACAGGCACGAAGACAACAUUUUCUUAGACAUCCAAUUCUCUCAAUUUCAUUUCUUAUGAAAACAAUUAUCAUCACAAUUCAUGUUCAUUCUAUCAAUAUUUGUAGUUAUUUUUCAUGUUCAUUCUUCUCAUAGAUAUCCUUAAAGGAGAUUUUAAACUUCCUUCGUAUAGGAAUGCUUUCAUAUAAUCAAUCAGUGAAGGAAGAAACGAUAACCCAAUCUAAAUUCUCUGUGGAAUUUCAACAUCCACUAGAAAUGCUCUUUCUAAGGGAAAAAUGAAAUCUCUAUUGCAUUUACUAUAAUAGAGGUGUAAUAUCCUUGAGAGGCAGAGUUGUAACUCUGGUUGAUAGUUUGGUUCAAACAACAAUAUAACUUGACUAGCACAUCAAGUUAUCAAGGACUUCUAUAGAAAAAAAGAUUAUUAAUGACUAAGAAAGAAGGCAAUCAUCUCUAACCUCUUCAACAGGUGUAUCAUCAUGAUGCUCACUUGAAUCAUGCUUCUCCACAUCUCCUGCUAGAUUAGUCCCACGACCUUUGCGAUUCUUCUCAGAAUCAGGUUCCCUCCAGACUUGUCUUCUCUGCCCAUGCUUUGCCUAGAGCAAGAAAGCUUAACAAUACUACCGGUUGUUGUUAAUAAUAAGGAGAAAUAUCACUUACCAUUUGAUUAAGAUGCUUGACCCGCAUGCCAUUUCUCCAAUCCUGUUCGUUAUUUAAAGCUGCCACCUGAUCCAAUUACCAGAAAGUACUGAGCAUUAGAAUUAUACAAUCAAGCACCUUAAGCAAAAAGCAAUAGAUUUUACACAACAGCACUCACAGCUUUCUCAGCAGCCUCUACAGUAUCAUACUCCACAAAGGCAUGCACCUACACACAGAAACCAGAAAAGGGAUUGAUAGCAAAAAAAUUAGUUUAAUAUUAGCAAACAAAAUGUCCAUAAAACAACAACAACCACAACCAUGCCUUAGUCCCAAACUAGAUAACUAAACAAGAUGUCCAUAAAUAGAUUUGAAAAAAAGAAAAAAAAUCUUUAUGAGCAGCAACAUGAUGUUACAAAAACAAAAUGCAGGGAUUGUAGCUAACAUAAGGAUCAUUGUGGCUAAAGCUCACUUGAAGUUCUUUUGAAACUCAAAAAGGAUAAUCUAAAGGAAAUCACUUUAUCCUCAGAAAGUCAAUAGCUACAAUAAAAAAGUAUCAGCAGUGACCAAAUUUGACAAGAACCAAACAAAAAGGUCGGAGACACAACAACCUUAACACAUCUCACAGUCGGAAACUACCAUUUGCAUAUCCAAAAAUCAUUGCUGUAAGGUCCUCACAGCUAGAGCUAAGAUUUUAUAUUAUGUUUUUGGAACCCAACAGUCUCAUGUAAGGCACCAACUACACGUUCCCAUGGGCAAAAACAAAGCACUACAAGUCUGCCCAUUGAAGCUCAUUCCAAACAAUGGUCACUCACCUAAACCCGAUACAAAUCUUAUUCUUGCAGAACAUAAAUGCUCACUUUAGAAUAUUACCUAGUGUACCUCUCAAUAAGAUAAGUAAAAUGCUCAUACACUAUUCUAGAAUUCAUCUCCUAAACUUCAUAUUGAUAAGCUGCAUUCUUUGUCAAAUCACAAUAGAAAUCAAAAGGCAGAAAAAGGUAAAAGGAGGAAAUGAAGAUUAAAGCAGAUGAUGAAUAAGAGUAAAGAUGAAGCAGCUAAAGAACUAGCCAAUGAUAAUAUACCAUUCUUGUAAUAAAGAACGAGUUCAAUGCAAUAAUCCUUCAGAUGAAUACAGUUCCAUAAUCCAUACCUUGCUACUGAUCAAAAUAUCUGUUUUACUUCCUUUCUUAGACUUUUCCACAGCUAGUGGAUCACGGAUGGAAAUAUUCUUUAUCCUGAAAGUUGCAAACAACAACUUUUAGAAUGAACAGACCCACCUAAAAGGCAAUAAGAAAGCAAAAUAAAAGACUAGAAUUAAAAAGAUUACUUUCCAGCAGCACCAAAUAUUCUCUGGAGGUUGUUCAAUGAGUGAUCCUCUGGAAGAUUCUCAACCAGAACAGUGCAAAGCUAGGGUCCACAAAUUAGAUGCUCAAAGUUUUAUUAUAAUGCCAGUCCAAGUGAUUGGGGGUGGGGGGGAGAUCAAGUUCAUUAAAAUACCUUAGGAUCCUUAACCUCAGCAAAAUGAAAAGGAUCAAGGCGCUUCACCUUCUUUCCAUCUGAAUUUACAACCUGUAGAUUAAGGCAAAUAAAUUUGUGACAAGCAAACUUUUUUCUGUCCACAAAAUCCAAAUUCCAUAAGCAUGACAUAAAAGAAAGGGAGAAGAUGAAGCUUCUUACAAGAAUGGAAGACUCCCUAAGCGCAGCCACAAUAAAUGUGGAGUCUUGAGUAAGCUUCUUCAUUUUCCUAAAAGAAGCAAUAACUGUGAUAGGAACUGCAAGAAAACACUUACCAUGAAUGUGUAUAACUAUUACAUGAAAAACAUCACGGUAACAUGUAUGAACAAUUAGCAAUAUUUAGAAGCCUAAAUCAUAACAAGAUUGUCUACAAAAGCCAAGGGAAACCAUUCUCCAACUCAGAUCAUUUCAUACUUUGAUGAAGUAGUGCAAGCAGACUCCCAAUUCCACAAGUAUGAAGAUGGUUAAUUCAAAUGUACAAACAAAAUCAUCAAAAUUGUUGUGUAGAUACAACAUAUAAAGGAGAGAAAGGAUAGAAUUUGCAAAUGGAGAAACAACUAUAUCAUAGGAGUAAAAAUAUAAAUAAAACAGGGAGAUGGUCUUGUAUCGAAGCAGCAAGAAGGUAAAUUCGUAACUCCAAAAAGAAGAAAAAAUCAUGGCACUGCAUGGCAAAAGAGUUUCAGAAGGCAGUUAGAAGAUAGAAAGCAGACAUUGAUGUCCAACUUCAUUAUCACUAAAUUUACAUGCAUAGUCAUAUCACUAACCUAGCAUGAUUUUAUUUAUUUAUUUCUUGGCAUAAUCAAGAUAAAAGGUCAGCAAUACAAUUCUAAAAAAACAACCCCUUCGUCACUCUUUAUGUCUUCCACAUAAACAGGGAGCACUAUAACAAUGGAACCAGACCAGAGAAGUGAGCCGAUGGCAAUUCAAGUAAAUAAUAUUCGAACUGAAAUAAGCACUUUAGAUUAUUUAUUAAUUAAUAAUUAAAGAUAUAUUAGCAAUCACUACUCAAUUCACUCAUUAGCUAUAUUUUCUACUUCGCCAGCUACAGAAGGUUCUCCGUUUCUCUCUAACCCGUUAACAAAUUUAUCAAUUGACAAGCUAUAGACAUUAAAAAGGGAAAAACAAACUAUUUACCAAAGCCUUCUUUGUUCUUCUUUAUCAAACUUAUCAUAUACUUGUCGGUAGGCAAAUUCUCAUCACUAAAAUAAUAUUCCACCUGCAAAACAAUAAUUUAGGAGUUGUAAUUCAGUAACUUCAUUCGCAAGUUGAGUAUUAUGCAAUAAUUAAGACUUCUUAACCACAAUUGUAAUUGAAAGAAAUUCAAAAGAAAAAAAUAUACUAAAUUAAAUUAUUGCCAAACAGCAAACAAUAUAUAUAUAUAUAUAUAUAUAUAUAUAUAUAUAUAUAUAUAUAUAUAUAUAUAUAUAUAUAUAUAUAUAAGAAAUAGAAAGAGAGUGCUUGCCUGCUUAAUGAUUUUAUGCUUGAGAUCCACAGUUUGAACGGUAGGACCAGAUGACUGCUCGUGUUCGCGAUCAUGAUCCGGAUCAUGAUCUUCAUCAGACGGCAGUGCGUGGACGUCGACCUCAGGAGAUCCAACGGGGGUGAGUUCAAGAGGAGAUUCCACGGUGGGAACAGGGGGGCCCACUUCACCAUCCAUGGAGGAGGAGGAAGAAAAAGGAGGGCGUCUGGUUGAAACAAAUGCCGUAAAGAGACUAAACCAUCCCGCUCUUUCUUCUCCUCCUCUCUAGUGGCUUCUUCUCCUAAAAGCAUUUAUAGGAUUUAUAGGAGCAUUUAUAGGGUUACGCAACAGCAGGGAAAUAUUUGUCGAGUAAGGUUUUGUUUGCUAUUGUUGUAGAUUUUAUUUUAAAAAAAACAAAUUAUAUAAAAAUAAUAUUAAAAUUUUAUUUUUUAAAAUUUAAUCUAAAAAUUUUAAAAAUGUUUUUUUCUUAAAAUUGUAUAAAAAUAAUAUUAAAAUUUUAUUUUUAAAAUUAGCAUAUCAAAAUAAUCUAAAAAGUUUGUAAAGUGUUUUUUCCUUGAAAUUGUAUAAAAAUAAUAUUAAAAUUUUAUAUUUUAAAAUUCAUUUUUGAUAUCAGCACAUUAAAAUAAUUUAAAAAUAUAAAAAAAUAAAAAAAUCAAUUUUUUUUUAUAAAACGUCAUUUAGGCCGCGUUCCCAAACAACACCUAAAUUUGCUUUGUUGAAUUGUUUUUUCUUUAAUUUUUGCCGUGUGGCUUUUAUUGGGGUCUAUUAUCCGGCACCGUUUUCUUGCGGUUUUUGAAAAGAUUGGUGCGAAGUUACAUGUUGGAACAAUUGUUUUGGUAAAAAAAAUUAAAGCUCGGCUAACAUAAUUUUAAUAAAAAUAUAUAUAUUUAUGAACUCAAAAUAUGAUGCACAUUGAAUGAAAUCUUCUUUAAAUAUUGACAUGAUAAUCUAUUGAAAGAUAAUUUUUUUAAAUAUUAAGACGAUGACAUAUUGGAUUAAUCUAGGUUAACCUAUCAAAUAUGCGACCAUAGUAAUGAGAUCAUGUGAACCUUAUAGAAAGCAAAUAUGAUGCGAACCUCUUGAUCACGCGGUCAAGCAACCCCUAACAAAGUAGAUAAUAACCUGGAAAGCCGAAAAUCAUAUUUGAUAGAACUUUGACCCAAAUGUAACCCUGUAUCUAAGAACCAAAGGUAUUGAAAAAAAAACUUGGACCUAGAUAUAACCUUGUAUUUAAAAAUCUUAAGUAUGAGAAUGACACCAAGAAGCUAGUCAAUCUUCGAUAAGUCAGUGUAUAAUUUUUGUCCCUGCAAAAAAAGGUUGUUUAGCUAAAAAAAAAAAGAAAACUCACGUUUAUUCUGCAACUUGAAUCAAAACAAAAUUCCACUUGUAUCUCCAUAUAUGUCACAAACAGUAUACAAAGGUCUAGUUUGACAGAUUUGAUAAGAUUUGUCUAGUAACUUUGACCCAUUGAAAUAAAAUAUUCUCGAACUCCAUUUGAACUAAAAAUUUACUAAAAUAUAUAUCCAUGUGUCUAGUAUCUCCUUGUAAAAUUUCAGCUUGUUCUGAUGUAUGGUUUGAGAGAUAUUCUUAAUCUCGCAAAACUAGUUAGCAAACAUUUUAAGACCAAAUUCGGAUAUGACUUGGUUCAUAUCAUCCUUCGUUUCUUUAAAAAGAUCCGACCUCAAAUCUGUAUCGUGAAAAACAUUUUCUAAGGUCAACAAAUCAGUAUCAAGCCAAAGAAUAACAUCAUCAUCAAAACCAAGAAGAACCUUGUUAGCCAAAAAAGGUCCCCCUAAUAUACAAGCAUGCAUAGUCCUUACGUGUGCACACAACGUUGCGACAUCGUGAUCAAGGAGUCACCACCUAGUUAUUUGGUUCAGGGUCACUAGGAGACCUAGGUAGACUGAUCUUAUAUGAAAUUUUAAGGUAAGAGACUAGUUGUGGCUAGGGAAGAUAUUAGCACCCCUAACGCACCUUACCUCAGGUAAGCAGUAUUGUGUGAUCUGGAUAUGGUUUAAAGGUGUUGAUGGAUUCCUAACCGAUGGUUCGUCUAUGGCUUAGAAUAAAAAUUUAUUCUCAUGAAUAAAUCUGGCGUUUCAAAUUCAUUAUGGGCUCGUAUGCCCAAAUAAUUUUUUAUGGGAAGAAUCCAUGUAGGUGCCCAAAUAGGGUUUACCUAUCCUGAAAGGCGAAAGAGUUUAUCACAACUCGUAUGUUGCGGUGAAAAAUAUUCCAAAUUAAAAUUGGUGAAUACUCGAAAUAAUUAUGGGAAUUUUUAAGUCAACUUCUGGUAUUUAAAUGCUAGCCUACUUGUAGGUCCAAUAUUUAUACCAGAAUUUUAACCAUUAAUUCUCAUGAAUUAAAAUUUUUAGGGGUUAUUGAAAUAUUGGUCAAGUUCUCAUGGAUUCAAUAAACUAGUUAUUACAUCCAAAACUACAUGCAAAAAUAUUUUUUAAAUUUUUAUGUAUAAAUAAGAAAUGUUAAAUCAUACCAUAUGUUUAUAUAUUAUUUUUAAGAAAAAUAUGAUUUUUAUCUUUUGAGAGGCUUAGCCAAAUGCAUACCAAAUAAAAUAUAUUUUUGUAUUUUUGAAAUGAGAAUUUGUUUUUAGAAAUUUUGGAAAUUUUUGAGAUUUCAACGAAAAAUGGGUAUUUUAAUACUAGAUCAACAUCUUAUAAUGUAAGUUUACAACUCUGAUAUUAAAUACAAUUGCUGGAAAAAUAUGCGAGGGACCCACAAAUAAUUUUAAAUUGGUCCUUGAUUUUUUUUUAGAAUUUUUAGGAAUUUAUUUGGGGCAUAUUUUAUAAAAAACCAUUUUUUAUUCAAAACAAAACUGUCAAAAUAGACUUAAGGGUGGGUGUGUGGUUGCCAAACAACUCCUUAGACAAAACAUUCCUCAACAAAAAAGUAACCAACCAAACAAAACUUUAGUACACGACCCCAAACAAAACCAAUCGGGUUGACUCGAAAACACUGGUUCAACCCUGAACCGAAUAAAAAACCAUGGUUUGACCUGAAACUAAAACAAAACAAAUAAUUAAACCAAAAAAUAUGAAAUCUAAAAAAAACACAAAAACAUAAUUUUUUUGGAUAAAAACAGAUCAAACACUAAUAACAUGAAGAACACGAUGAACAUUCAAACUGAAACCCAGUAAACACAAAUCACAAACCAGACAAGUUUUCAUGCAAUCAAGGGCAAGAUGUUGUUCAUAAUCAUGCAUAGAUCAAGAAUCAAGAAUCAAGCAUCCAUUUUAUUUUAUUAACACUCAAAAACCACGGUUUAAUCAAAUUGUGUUUGGGUAGUCGAAAGAACCCUAGAAUCUAAAUGCAUGAUCACAUGUUAUUGAUGUGUUUUAACCCUAGAUUAAUUGCUAAAGAUGACAAGCUAACAUGUCUGUGCCAAGAAUUAACCCAAAACAAUUCCAAAACAAGAGGCUAAGGCAAAGUUCAUUAGAAGAACAUGAACCUAGAAUCCGGAAAAUUUCUAGAAAUUGAAGAACUCCUGCCAAAACUCAGAUUUGGCCUUCUAGGCCUCUAAACACACUGUUUUUGGUCUUCACAAACCACAUUACCAAUACUGAGCAUAGUUGAAUCCAAAGAACUAACAAAUAACAUCAAAUCAUCAAUAACAUGCAUGGAGUUUUAGUUUUUAAAACUGUCAAAUCUUAUCUAGCCUACAUAUCUAUGCUAUUUGGAUUCAAAAUUAGUUUCUUAAACAUAUUUUUGGUCAUGAACAAGCCUUAAUCAAAUAAUAUUGCUUCACAAUGCAUUAAUCAAAUAAAACAAAACAAAAAACAAACAAACAAUGUUUUAUCAAAACUAACCUAACUAGAAAGCUUUUGUCACAUUAAAAAUAUCAAACACACCCUAAAAAUAAACAUCAAACCGUAUAAUCAAAAUCAUAGCAACAAGAAAAAAACAAACACAACCCUUACUUUUUAAGCAUCACCCUAUUUGCAAACAUAAAUAUAGACCAAAUGAAAACCAAAAUCUCCAUAAGUAGGCCACAUAAAAUCCACUUUUAGGUUAGAAAAUAUACCUUUAAAACCCUAGAACAACUAUUGCCUUCUUUGCUCUCUUUUGUAAAGUUUUACUUCUACAAACUUAGUACCCUCUCAAAACUGAAUUAACCCUUGUGCUAGGCUUGUAAACCCUCACAACUAGGAUAUUUUCUCAAUAUUACUCUUCUCAUUUUCUCUUUUUUUUCUCCUCCUCAACUCUGAUUUUUGGGGGUUAUUUAUAGGAUUUUGCUAAGUUUUUUUAUUGGAUUCAAUCAAAGAUUGAUCAAUCUUGGCCCUUUGAUAAGAAUGGAAGGGUUUUGGAUACAAAAAAAUAGUAACUGGAAGUUAUGUAUUAAGCUGGUUUUGGUUUUGGGGAUUUUAGUGGUUUUGCCAAACUUGGAGACCAAUGAGCUAUUUUUUGGCCUUUUGAUUUUGAAAGAAAUACGACUAACCCUUGAUAAGAACCUAUUGAGAAAUUUUUGAGUGUGAACACAUGAAAAAGUUAAUGGUUUUGCCAAAUGGGUGUCAUAAUCAUGGCUAACUGGGUUGACCACUUUUAAGGCAUUGUUAGAGCAACUUUGACAUCAAUGUUGCUUGAGAUCACCUAAAGUUGGUUGAGGAGGUGCACAUCUUUCAUUUGGAUCCAAUCUUGCUCAAUUUGGAGGUCUGUAGCUUCACAUUUAUUGGUCCAAAGGUGUCAUCUCGAUUUUCCUAAAAUUUGAAAAUGCAAGGAAAGUUUAUCAGGAUAAGAUAUCGAAGACUUCUAUGGAAGAAUUGGGGUGUAAACGUUCAAUUUCAUGGGUAUAGGAUUGUAGAGAGGGUGUUUCUCAGUUGAAUGACAGUGUUUACAACCCUUGAGGUGGUCAGAAACACCAUUUUCAUUCACCUAAAGAUGCCUACUCAACUAGCCAAAAUUGCUAAGGAAGGAGAUGAACAGUGAGUGAACGACACGUCGUCUAGGUUAAACCCUAGAAAUUAAGGUUUUUUAAUUUAGGAUUUGGUCGAUUUUAAUGUGGUCCUUGCUCUUCCAGUUCUUUUUAUUUGCAUCCGUAAUUGUCUCCCAACUUUUAAUUGCAUGCAACUGCAUCCCUACCAAAUUUAAAUAUCAGCCCUAAAGUUUAGCGUAUUUUACAAAUGAGUCCUUGGUUUUUAAUUUGUUCAAUUUCAUCCUUAAUUGACCAUUAAAAUUUCAAUUCCUUUUAAUUUAACCCCUGAUUUCUCUAAUUUUACCCCUGGAAUUGCGCGUCACUUACAUGUUGGUCCAUGGUAUUUGGAAUCUACAAUUAAGUCUUUAAAAGGCUUUCAAACUUUAAUUUUUUCAUAAUUAAGCCUUUGAUUUAACUAAUUAAACCUUCCAAAGUCUAAUUUCAAUCCCUAAAUUAACACCCUAAUUCACUCCAAAAAUUGAGUUUCCUUGCAAUUAAACCUUCAAUAAAAUUAAUUAAGCCUUCUAAAAUUCUCAUUGAGUCCUUACACAUUCAAAUAUGUGUUUCUUUACUCCAGAUAAAAAUAUUUUCACUAGUAGGGCCUUUUUUCAGUCAGAAUUAGGUUGCUAAUUUUGCUAUUCUUAUACAUUUUAGUCCUAUAACUUUUUCAUUUGUCAUCUUGGUCCUCUACUACCAAUCUUGGGUGAUCAUUUAGGCUUUCUUCAUGUAUGUUCUCUUGUAUUUUUAUUAUUAUAUAUAUAUAUAUAUAUAUAUAUAUAUAUAUAUAUAUAUUAUGUGUGGUAAAAAAUGGAUAACAAUAGAUGCUAUAUAUUAUGUGUGGUAAAAAUGGAUAACAAUAGAUGCUCUCUCUUAUAAUGCAGAAAAAAUAUCUAACUUGCUGUGUGAUCUAUCCAUGCAAAGACUUUGCUUUAUAUGUGAUCUAUCCAUGCAAAGACUUUGCUUUAUAUAGAAAAAAUUUCAUUAUCACAAGUAAUCUGCCCCUUUUAAAAUUAAAAAAAUCAAUUUAUUCUCAUGGACGACCUGUCCAUUUUGAAAUCUAAAAAUUGGUCUUUUUUCACGAGUAACCUACCAUUUUUAAAUUCCUAAAAUAAUUCCAGCAAGCAUCUAUGCUUCCCUGAAAUUGGUUUAUUUUCACGGGCGACUAUCCAUUUUGAAAUCUAAAAUUUAGCAUGUUUCACGGGCGAAUUACCCUUUUCAAAUUCCUUAAAGAAUUCCAGCUAACAUAUAUGCUUCCUUGAAAUUGGUUUAUUUCACGGGCGACCUAUCCAUUUAAAAUUAAAAAAUUAGCCUACUUUCAUAGGUGACCAACCAUUUUUCAAAUUCCAAAAAGAAUUUUAGCAAGCCUUUAUGCUUCCCUGAAAUUGGUUUAUUUUCAUGGGCGACCUACCCAUUUCAAAUUCCAAAAACAAUUUCAACAAGCCUCUAUACUUCCCUGAAAUUGGUCUAUUUUUAUAGGCGACCUAAUGCGAACCUUGUGAUCACGUGGUUACGCAACCCACAAUCAAGAUUGAGAUCUGGUCCUGGAAAGCCAAAAAAUGUCUGAUAGGAGUGUGGCAUAAUGAAAACCUGCCCCAAGACACCAACACUAUUGGAAUAAAGUAGAAUGACGCCAUGAAGUUAGUUAAUCUUUGAUAAGUUAGAUUCAGUUCGUUCAAAAACUGAAGAAUGCAAGAAUCACUCUCACACGUUGAAAAAUUCAGAAGUAAUAUUCCUCAAUGGCUGCUAAAAUUUUGUUUACAUGAGUUUAAAUAGUUCUUGAAAAAUUAACCCUAAUGGACCCCUUAUGUGGACUUAUAUGAGAUCCACUCAAAACUGACCCAAAAACCCUAAACUGAAAAGCUCAUAACCUGAUCCAAACAAGUGUUGGAUCCUAGCUCAAAACAAAGUUUUAAUUAAGCCCAAACAUGAAAGAAAAUAAUAAAAAUAACUAAUCUAUCAUUAAAUAGCACCAACCAUUCUUUCCUUGUGUAGUUAGGAUGAAUAAGGAAUCCUUAUAAGAUAAGGAUUCUGAAACAUUAAUGAAUCGUUACUACUCUUGUAAAUUAUGUUUUAGCUUAUUAAAGAUUCUUCUGGAACUAUGAAAUUCCCAAAACAAGUUGCCACAUCCUUUAAGAAAAAUGAUCAUUGCCAAAUAGGAAGUCCACAUGUCAAAAGGUAGUAAAUAACAAAAUUCAUAUAACUUGUUCUGACCUAUAUUGCAAGUCCUUUUUUGAACUUCGAUUCACCUGAAAAUGUACCCUAACAUAGAAAAAUACCUCUUGAAUCUUCUAGUAAAGUUUCAGCUUGAUCCAACUGUUGAAUUUGGAGUUAUACUCAAUAGCGUAAAACUAGACGGUAGAAACUUUUACACCAAAAUCCGAAUCUGACCUUGCUUUGGUAGUAUCACAAUGUUGAAUCGUAUCAUUUAUGAUUCUUGCAUUCUUCAGUUUUUGAACGAAUUGAAUCUAACUUAUCGAAGAUUAACUAGCUUCAUGGCGUCAUUCUACUUCAUUCCAAUAGUGUUGGUGACUUAGAACAUGUUUCAUUGUGUCACACUCCUAUCAGACCUUUUUCGGCUUUCCAAGAUCAAAUCUCAAUAUUGAUUGUGGGUUGCAUGACCACGUGAUCACGAGGUUCGCAUCAGUUGGUAUCAAAGCUAGGCUCCGAAACAAGGUCAUAUCCUUCUGUUAUUUUCGUUUUUUUAGUGUUCCUUUAAGUUUUUUAGUGUUUGCGUCGUUCAUCUUCUUGUUCUUUGUGUCCGUGUCAUCUAAGCAAAAAAAGAGAGGUUAUAUUUCAUCUUAUUACUGUCUCUAAUCAUAUCAGUAGCAUAUAUAUAUAUAUAAGAGAUAAGAUGAAAUUUGAAGGAUGAUUCAAUUCUACCGCAGAAACACAACUCUUACUGAACUAUAAGAAAAUCGCCUCAGAAUCAAUUGCAACUUCAUAUUCCAUCUAUUAGGGGUGAGAUCACAACAUAUAUAAAAUUUGAGCUUAUUUUGAUAUCGUAUGCUUGAGGUUUUAAUUUGAGGUUCAAUUUUGCCGCAUAAACACUACUCUCAGUGAACCAUAAGCAACCCACCUUAAAAUCAAUUAAAACUUCAUAUCCUAUGUAUUGUAGGUGAGGUCGCACCAUAUAUUAAAUUUGGGAUUAUUUGGAUAUUGGUUUCUUGAGGUUUUAAUUGGAGGUUCAAUUAUGCUGUAAACUAAUCAUACAAGGGGUUUGGGUACCUAGACAUAAUAGAACGACCUAUAAACUGAGAUUUAUUGUUUUCUUGGUAUCCGAAUACUAUAUAUUAAAUUCGAGGUCAUUUGGAUAGUGUUUUCUUUAGGUUUCAGAAUCGGGUUUUGUCUUGCCGUAACGGGUCUGUUUUGCAUUAUCUUUCAAAACUUGUUUUGUUUCUGUUGAUUUUGUUCCUGCUAGUAUAUUAUCACCAUAUUUGGGAUAUUUGGUUAUUGUUUAAGUCAUUUUCAUCACUUUCAUAUUUGUUUGUUUUCAAUCAGUUUUGGUCCAAACAAAAGUCAGAUUUGUAAUUUCGAGUCUAAAUCACUGUUAUUCUUGUCAUAAACUCUAUUCUUGUUGUGUCUUCGUCUUCUUCUAUUUUUCCUAUUUAUGUCAUGUAUUCAGCAAGGGAGAGGGAAUGAAGAAGGAUUCUAGCUCAAGGAUGAGAAAAUCUAAGCCAUGGUUUGGGGGUUUUAGAACAAGAAGUUGAUAAGUGUAGAAGAUUAUUCUGUGAUUUUUAAACUUCAUGGGAAAAGGAGGUACAAUGCCAAAAAAAUAAAAGAUGAAAGAGAGUCAUUGUUGUUAUCAUUCAAAAUUAUACACGCAAGUGGUUAGUACAACUUGCUUAUCUAAAAUUCUUGUCAGUCACUACUUUCAUAUAGUGUUGUUGGAGAAAGGUGUUAGCAAUAAGGGAAUUUUGAAGGCUUAAACAAGAGGCUAAUAAAGUUGCCACUAAUCCUAUUCAAGAUUCGAGGGCGAAUCUUCUUGAAGAGGGAGGGAAUGAUAUGGUUUAGCCUUGUGAUACAACCCAAGUAAAGUCAGAUUCAGAUUUUGGUGUAAAAGUUUCAACCGUCCAGUUUUAUGCUAUUAAACAUAACUUCAAAUUUAAUCGUUGGAUUGAGCUGAAACUUUACUAGAAGAUUCCGGAGAUAUUUGUCUAUAUUGAUGUACAUUUUCAGGUGAAUCAAAGUUUGGAAAGACUUGCGAUAUAGGUCAGAAUAGGUUGUACGAAUUUUGUUAUUUACUACCUUUUGACCCGUGGACUUCCUAUUUGGCAACGAUCCUUUUUUAAAAGGAUGUGGUAGCUUGUUUGGGAAUUUCCUAGUUCUAAAAGAAUCUUUAAUGAGCUGAAACAUAAUUUCAAGAGUGGCAACGAUUCAUUAAUUUUUCAGAAUCCUUUUUUUAUAAGGAUUCCUUAUUCAUCCUAACUACACAAGGAAAGAAGGGCUGGUGCUAUUUAAUGACAGAUUAGUUAUUUUAUUAUUUUCUUUCAUGUUUAGGCUUAAUUAAAACUUUGUUUUGAGCUAGGAUCUAAUGCUUGUUUAAAUCAGGUUAUGGGCUUUUCAGUUCAGGGUUUCUAGGUCAGUUUUGAGUGAACCUUAUAUAAGUCCAUAUAAGGGGUUCAUUAGGGUUAAUUUUUCAAGAACUAUUUAAACUCUUGUAACCAAAAUUUCAGCAGCCAUUGAGGAAUAUUACUUCUAAAUUUUUCAGUUUUAACGUGUGAGAAUGAUUCUUACAUUCUUUAGUUCUUGAACAAACUGAAUCUGACUUAUCGAAGAUUAACUGGCUUCGUGGCGUCAUUCUACUUCAUUGCAAUAGUGGUAGUGCCUUGGAGCAGGUUUUCAUUGUGUCACACUCCUAUCAGACCGUUUUCGGCUUUCUGGGAUCAGAUCUUAAUCUUUUUUUUUAAUCAAAUGUAAGAAAUUGUAUAGAUCAAAAGUGAAACAAAGCUGGAAACCAGCAAGUCAGAAUAUACAGGUGAACAAAGGGAACAAGCUCCCUUGAACAAGCGAAUACAACCAAAGAAAGGGAACAAAACAAAGGGAAAAAACUCUCUUGAACAAUGGGAACAUGCUCCCUGAAAUAAAAAUAACAAGUUACCAGGCUAAACAAAACCAACAACCAGGCAACAGAACCAUACCAAACAGCAGUUGGGUGUAGCCAACUUCAAACCCUCAACAAUAGGCUAUCCAACCAGCAAACCCGUAGAUAGUUGAACCUGCAAGUAUAUAAGACAACAGUACCAAACAAAAGGCACCAAUGCAGCAACACCCCAAGCCAGAGAGCAAAGCAAACUCCAGCAAACCACAACAAAAUCAUCUAGCAGAACCAAAACCAACCUCCACUAGGACCACGGGUUGCGUAACCAUGUGAUCACGAGAUUCGCAUAAGUUGGACCUGUCCUUUUUUAAAUUCUAAAAAGAAUUUCAGCAAGCCUUCAUACAUCCCUAAAAUUGGUUUAUUUUCACGGGUGACCUGCCUAUUUGAAAAUAAAAAAUUUUAGUCUAAUUUCAUAACACCCUUUUCAAAUUCUAAAAAGAAUUUCAUCAAGCGUCCAUACUUCUCUGAAAUUGGUCUCUUUUCACGGGUGACCUACCCAUUUUAAAAUUCAAAAAUUGAUCUAUUUUCACGGGUGACCUACCUUUUUUUCUUAAAUUCCAAAUACUAGGAUCUACAUUGGAUCCUCCCAAAACUUUUAUAAGAAAAAAUACCCUUAAAGGGUAAACUCUUAAAACGAGUGCCUUGUCUUAUCGCCUUAGUUAUCCCCAACUUAUGGAUGAGAUUUCUUUGCCAUUUCUCAACUUCUGUUCACCUAUGUAAAUUUCACUGCCUUUCCUCUUGAUUGGUGAAUCAUGCACCAACACUAUUUCAAAGUUGAGGUUAAACCAUAUACAAUGUAUGUCUUUUAAAAUAUAGCCCCCCCUUUUCUUCACAAUCUCUUCCUUUAAUUACCGAGGGUUGUAAUUUUUAAGGUGGUCUUUCUUGCCAACUUAUCCUUCUAGGUUACUAGAGCAAAUACGUGUUCAAAUCUUGAGUAUCAAGCUGCCUUUAUAGCCUUAUUCUUUUAUGAGUAUUUAGGUCGUGGUGAAUGCUAUCCUAAUCGGGAAUGAAUAAAAAAAAACUCCUUACCUUAUGACUACAUUUUUUUAUGUGUUUUUUGUAAAUACUCAUAACACUAUGCAUAUUAUUUCUUUACAGAAUUAGAGUUCAUAGGUCAAAGCAAGUCGUAUCCAUAUAUUAUUGUCAAUAAUAAAGCCCCCCUAAAAGAAUGCUUUUUUCACUAUAUAUGAGCGUUGGGUGCUCACUUACUUUGAUCUUUAUCAAGUAGAGGAAGAUCUUUCUCAACACUAUAUCUCCUUCCCGAAAUACCCCUAGGUCUGACCUUCUUGUCAUAUGCUUUAACCAUUUUUUAUUGAUACAACUAGUGUGGUAAAUUGCAACUAACCUCUUUUCACUAAUCAGAUUUAACUGCUCGUAUCUUAUUUUAGCCCAAUCAGAUUCCCUAAGUUUUGAUUCCAUCAGUACCCUUAAAGAUAAGAUUUAUACUUCUAGCAACAUUACUGCUUCUAGCCUGUAAACCAAUGAAUAAGGUGUAGCUCCUGUAGUCUUUAUUACUGUGCAAUAUACAUGCAGAGAAAAAGGAAGCAUUUUAUGUUAGUCCUUGUACGUGACUAUCAUUUUCUGCAUAAUCUUCUUGAUAUUCUUAUUGGAUGCUUCUACAAUACCGUUCAUCUUCGGCUUAUAUGGAGAUGAGUUUGAGUGCUUGAUUUUCCAUUUUGCGCAAAGCUCCACUAUCAUUAUUCCACUGAAGUUUGGAUCAUUAUUAGUCAUUAUCUUUUCAAGUGUUUUAUAUCGAUAGAUUAAAUCUCGUUCAAUGAAUCUCUUCACUACCUUCUAGGUUACAUGAGUAUAUAAAUUGGCUUUCAUCCAUUUUGCGAAAUAGUAAAUGGCCAUUAGGAUAAACCGAUGUCCAUUGCUGACUUUUGGAUUAACAGGCUUAAGGAUUUAGUAAAAGGUCGGCCUAUGUUAAGCAAGAAUUAAGGGGGUAAACCAGCCUACUCUAGGGAGGAUUGGGGAAGGGGAAAACCGGUCCUAGAUUAACCAAAUGAGAAAUAAGAACAAGGUAAACCAACCCUCCAAACAACCCAUCAUAUUUAUUAGUAAUAUAAAUAUAAGGGGGAGAAAAAGAGAUGACUCUUCCUCUCCCCCAAAAACCGGUAGCAAACAUUGCUGCAACAACCAUCUCUUCCCAAAGAAAAAACUAAACCAAACCAGUUUGCAUGUCUUUUCUUGAGUGUUGAGUGAAGGCAGAGCUAGAGAAAAGAAGAAUAACUGAAAACAUGGAAGAAGAGGGAAACCAGAAGGUCAACUGGAACAACAGAAUAAGGAGAGAAGAAAACUAUGAGGAGGAGAAGAACAAAAUCACCAAAGACCUUUUCUAAGAUUGUUAAAAUCAUAAGGUAAGUGUAAUAUCACCCCCUUGGCUGGUUGUUACCCUAAAUUUCAAACAAAAAAAGAGAGGAAAAGAAACUUCAAAAUGGGAGAUUAAAGCUCUUACAUUUUAACUCAAAACUAAGCAACUAAGUGUGAAGAACCUAAGUAAAAUAAUGAACGAAUGAACACAAGUGCAUAUUCUUACAAAAGAAAAAUGAAUGAACAUGAAUGAUUUUGAAUGUGUAGACCUAAAGGAGGGUUGACCAAGUUGAAGGGAUGAUUGAAAUGAUGAAAUCCAUGAAUGAUGAUCUUAUUAAACUCCUAGGAAUAUACUUUAACCAAAACAGAAUUCAUGCUUGCACUAAUGUCUUGAUUUUUUGCAUAUAUGAUAGAAGAACUUGUGUGAAAAUGAAAUGAAGUGAUGGUAUGUGCAGAAUUGUGAUGUUGUUAAGCCUUUAAAGGCAUGCUGGAGUUGAAACAAAAGUUAUACCAUGUUAAUGCCUUGAUUUUAUUUGUGUGAUGAAUGAACAUAUAUAAUUAUGAACCAAGUGGAUGGAUAUGUGUUAUGAACUGUUAUUAUGAAUAUACUUGUGAUAAAAUAUGAUACAUUGCAUAUAUAAAUUAGAGAGAAAUAGGUAACAAUGUUUCGGCCAUAGGAAAUGAGAGAACCAUUAAAAGACUUGCCAUGACAAACAUCUUAGGGGAAACAAGUCUUAGGUCUGGAGUAAACCCUUUUUUAUUAUGAAAUUACUAUUGGUUGUGUUGACGUAUUGUCAUGAUAUAAUUAAAAACAUAAAAUGUAUGAUUAUGGUAACUCUAGAUGUCGGUCUUGAAGUGUUAGCUAGGAAAGCAUUUGAAAAAUAUACAUGUUGAGACUUGGUUGCAUAUUACUUGAUAACUUGUGAUGAAUUGAAUGUGAAUUGGGAUGUCCUAUGUCCAACUAAGUUCGGGGUACGUCGGUAAAGGGGAAGGCUUCAUGUAGACCUUACGCCUAGCCAAUGGGGAAAGAAGUAAAACCAGAAAUGAUUCAAUCGUUGCUGAUGAUUUCUGAAUCGAUAGUGAUAUAGAUUGCGUUGAUGAUUUCUGGGUUGGCAGCGACUCAGUUUUCAUCAAUGAUUUUUGAGUCAACAAUAAAUCAUAUGCACUGACGAUUCCAUGCAUCAGCCAUGAACUAGUUUCACUAAUGAUUCUAUGUUACUAGCGACCCAGUUGUCAAUGAUGAAUUCUGAAUCUCAUGUGUCAUCCGUGAACCAGUUUCGCUAACGAUUAUGUGUUACUAGCGACCCAGUUGUCGUGAUGAAUUUUGAGCUUCAUGCGUCAACCAUGAACCGAUUUCACUAACGAUUCUAUAUUACCAGUGACCCAAUUAUCGCUGACGAAUUCUGAGUGCCAUGCGUUAGCCGUGAAUUAGUUUCACUGACGAUUCUAUGUUACCAGCGACCUAAUUAUCGCUAAUGAAUUCUGAGUUCCAUGCGUCAGCUGUGAACUAGUUUCGCCGAUGAUUCUGUGUCACUAGCGACCCAGUUGUCGCUGACGAAUUCCGAGUUCCAUGCAUCAGCCGUGAACUAGUUUUCGCUGACAAUUCUGUGUCACCAGUGACCUAGUUUUCACUGAUGAUUUCUGAGUUAGUAGCGAUCUAGUUUUCGCUCAUAAUUUCUAUGUCACUAGUGACCUAGUUUUCGCUGAUGACAUUCCGCGACAUCAACGACCUAGUUUCGUUGAUGAAUUCAAUAUCAGAAAUGAUUUAAUUCUUGUGAUGAUUUCAUCAUUGGUUUGACCUAAUUCACUACAAAACUUAAGAAUCAAACACUAGGACGUGCGGGGAUGACCCACGCUUAAAACUAAGAGAAAUGUCUUGAUAUGAUGACGCUUAUUGUAUGAUUAUAUGAUGUGUGAAACACUUGAAUGUGAACAUGUGUAUUCUUGGGAUAUGUAUGGUGAUGGCUUAUGUGAUUAAUGAAUGCAAAUAUGCUGAUUAGUGGUCAUUUGAUGUGUCAGGUGGUGCGACUGGGGUCAGACCUUCGACCAGAUGAGGACACCCCACGGGAGGAACAUGUAGGUGGUUUCCACCCUCUUCUAGCAUAAUAUUAAUUCUCCAAAAUGACUUCAUUAUGAAAGAUCUAUUAUUGCUUUAUAAUGAAUAUUAAACUGUACAUAGAAUAUUCGAUUAAGUUUAAUGAUUAGCUUCGACUAAUAACAUCAUAGAAGAAUGGUUGGGAUGAGUUUGAUGAUUAGCUUUGACUAAUGGCGUCCUAGAAGAAUGGUCGGGAUGAACAUUAUGAUUAGCUUCGGCUAAUGCCACCUAGUAUUAUGGUCACUAGGAACCCUAACUGGUCUUUCAGAGAUUCUAAGGCAAGGGACUGGUUGCGUAAAGGGAAGGUAUUAGCACCCCUAGUACGCCCUACCUAAGGUAAGCUGCUUGGUGUUUGGUUUGUCUUAAAAUUGCUAUGGUGUUGGUGUUUUCUAAUUCCAUCAAUUUUUCUAAGUUUGAUUCUAACUAAAUUUAUUAAGAUAGAAAUCCAAGAAGAUUCCAUGUGCUUUAAAAGCUCAUUUUUCCCUUGGUAUUUCAAGAGUUUGCGACUCGUAAAUCGCAAGGAGGAGGGACAAAAAUUUAGAAAUCUAGGGCACUUUAAAAGCCUAUUUUUACCUUAGUGUUUUAUACUCUCAUGGCUCGUAAACCGUGGAGUAAAAAAUUAAAAUGUCCUCAAUUAUAAUCAAGGCUUCUUUCAAGGAUGUGUGCGGAUUUAUUAUUCCUAGAAAAUUAUUUUGGAUAUUUACCACUCCGGGUUUCUUUAUCCAAAUAUUAACAGUGAAUAAUAACAAAUUAUUCCCAAUAAUAUUUUGGAUAUUCGUCCUUUAAGGAUUUCUUUAUCCAAACAUUAGCGGUGAAUAAUAGAUGAAUUCCCCCCAAAAUAAGAUUUUUAUAUUUUUUGGAAUAUUGGCCAAUACCCUUUGGAGUUUUACAAACAUGUUGUAAAAUCCAGAAAUGCAAGAAAACAAUUUUUUUGUUGUGUUUAAGAAAUCCAUGCGAAAACACAUUUUCAAAACUUCCAAUAUUUUUUGUAUAUAAAAAAAACAUUCAAAAUAUGUUAGGGUAUUGGCCGUAUGCAACACACAAGAAAACAAAUUUGAUAUAUAUGUAUAUUUGUCACAUUGCGUAAAAAAACAAAAAACGGGUAUUCUAAACACAAGACUAAUAUUUUUUACAACAAAAAAAAUUCAGACCUUAAAAUAAAUAUACCAAAAAAAUCAUAAAUCACUUUCUCUUUCUUUUAUUUUUUUGAAGAAAAAAAAACAGGGGGGGUUUGGGCAAAUGACCCGGCUGGACACAAAAGGGGUGCAGCUCUCUUUUGUGAAUGGAGAGCUACUGUUCAAGUGAAUUAAUUCACUUGAACAGUACAGACACAUACAUUACAAAGAAAAAGACCACACUAAAGUGCAAAUACAAAGCAAAAGAAAGCAUGCAACAGGUGAAUAGAAAACCAACCUGGAGACGAAGAAACUGCAGUGGCGUUGGAAGAGUGAUGGUUGCUGGGUCUGCGUCUGUCCUUCUUCUUAUGUUCUGUGUUUGGGUCUGCCUAUUGCCUCCUUCUUUACUCUGCGCCUCCGUCACUUUCUCUACUGAUUCCUAACUUUCUUUUCCCGUUUCUGCAGUUUUUAUUUGUAGAAAACAAAUGGAGCAAAGGCGUCUUUCUUGUUUUUCUUUUGCUGUCUCUCUCCCGUUCUCUAUUCUCUCCUCUUUUUUCUAUUUUUCUGCUCUCCUUUUCCUCUCCCGUUAGGUCAUUAGAAGGGCCUAUAUAUAGUCUAAAUAUGUCUCUAUUUAGGAAGGAUUCAAUGCAUUAAUCCUAGGACGCAAAUCCCUACUGAUUUGCAGUAAAAAAAACGCAAAAGGAAACUGCAAUAUUCUGAUUUUGUGUUGGUGCUUUACGUCUGAUUUCUUUCCAGUUUUAGAGGAGGGUGUGGCUCUUUUCUUUCCUUCCAUAGGGCCAACUGCUCCCUUUGAAAUGAGGCAAGAAAAAACGUGGUUGCAGCUCCAAAAAUCAGGCAUGAUGAUAAAGGAAAAACAGCAGGAAUUUGCAGCGAAAAAAGGAAAGAAAUCAGAUGGAGGGUGCAGCUGCAAAGUCUCAUUUUCCUUAUUCGGCGUGGAAAAAAUCCAGUCAUUUAUGAUGAUCCAGCCCCCCUCUCCAGCUUUCAAUAUCAUUCUUCAAUUCAAAUCCCUCAUUUUAACACUUUUCGAUUCAGUCCUUGGUCCAAAAGAAAUCCUUCGAAUCAGUCCCGCGAACUUGGGCUAUAUCCUUCCCGCGGCAGAAUUUUCUGCCCUCACGUUAGAUAUUCAAAUGGGAAUAUCUUGAGCUUCUGAUAUCGAAAUCAAGUGAUUCAAAAGCCCAAAUGCAUCUACGCGUCUAGGACUAAAACUUUUAUGAAGAAGUCGAAGUGAGAUAAAAUCGUUCUACAUAACAGAAACUGGUAGUAAUCUAGUUGGUCAAAAAGGUUCUUGAUCUGACAAUACUGAGCAUCCAAAUCUGACUGAGAAUCUGCUCUAAGAACAAUGAUCCCUAGGACCUAAUAAAGGUAUACGUCAAUUUUUUAACAGGUAAUGAGUGACAGAAUAUACCUAGGAUGGUCAGAUAUCGUACGAAACUGAGUCAGAAUCAUAGCCUAAGUUGAAACAAAAAAUUGCGACAGCAGCAGAACUAUUUUUUAGUGCAAAUUCUGAGGGAUUUAUUCAACCUUAAAGACCAGAUAAAAAAGAAUGAAUUUAGCAUUAUGAAGACUCCUGAUCAACCUAAAAAAACCCUGAUGAUUUUGGUGGUAAAGGGGAAGGAUAAAAAAAAGCAGAAAACAGCUCAAACAAGGUUAAAAAAAACAAAAUAUUUCUUUCUGUUCUUUUGUCAAUCUUCUGGCGAAUAUGAGCUAAACUCCUACACUGUUCAAAAGAGGUAUACACCGUCUCCAGCACGUGGGGUCCAAAAUUGAGUAACAACAAACAUUAUGAUUAACUUCGGCUAAUGGCAUCCUAAAAGGAUGGCCAAGUUGAAUUUGAUGAUUAACUUUAGCUAAUGGCAUCCGAGAUGGAUAACCGGGUUUGAAUUUUAUGAUUAGCUUUGGCUAAUGGCAUUUGAGAUGGAUGACUGGGAUUGAAUAUUAUGAUUAGCUUCGGCUAUUGACAUCCGAGAUGGAUGACCGAGUUUGGAUAUUAUAAUUAGCUUUGGCUAAAGGCAUCCGAAAUGGAUGGCCGGGUUGGAUGUGAGUUAACGUCGGCUAUUAGCAUCCAAAAAGGGAUGACCGGGUUUUAAGUAAUGUGAUUGACUAUGUCUACUGAUGUUCAUAAAGGAUGACCAUGAUAGGGCAAAAUAAUUAACUAUGACCGAUGAAUUAACUCCGGUCCUUACCACUCCCAUGAAGAGGUUGGGAUACGUGAGUAUGGAUAAUGUAGUUGAUGAAAUAAUAAGGGCUAUAUUAUAUAUGAAAGGAUUAUAUUCAUUUAGGCUGUAAACGAAAAGUAACGAUAAUAUUCUUUUAGUUAGUUAUUGUUCUGUUUUAAAUUGUUUAUAAUUCUUGUAUUUAUUUUGUACUGUAACAAGGAUGUCACACCAACAAGGUGGUAGGGAAUCCCGUUCCACGGGUCCACAUGUUUUGAAAAGAACUAUGUACUCGCAUGUUUAAGUUAUUAUGUAUAUUGUAUGAAAAAAAUGUACUAGUUGUGUAAUUUUCGUUCGACAUUUUUGUAUAAACUCGUAAUGAUAACAAUAUUAGAAUAGGAAUGCAAACUUAUGAAUAUAUAAAUAUAAUGUUAUGGGUAUGUGUAUUGAGUACCUUUUAUGGAGAUGUUGAUUUACGCAAUCAUAUGUGUAUUAUGCUAGACUAAUAAAUGGAACCUAAUUACUAAUUCUCAUAAUGCUACUAUGAGAAGCAUCGAGAACGUAAUGGUUUACAAAAAAAAAAAAAAUUUACCACUAAUUUUGAUCAUGAAAGGAUAAGAAAUUUCAAGUCUUUAGAUUUAUCUUAUCACUAUAUGCCUGACACUUCUAGCAUUUUCUGAUAUAUUUUAUGCAAUCCCUUUCCAUGGUCAUCCAGAAAUAUCCCGAUCUCUGUAUUUGCCUAGCCGUCAUAUGUCUACUAGCAAGAGUUGCACAAAUCACUUCAUGAACUUCUUAGAGUGCUUUUUUUAUAUUCUAUCCUAUCCAAACAUCUCAAUAAUGUUCCAUUGGAUGAUCUCUUGUAUAGAGGUUUAUUAUGACCCGUUCCUCUAGCAUCGUGCUCUUCUUUAGUGCAGUAUAGGUAAUUUGUUGCAUAAAUUGUUCCGACCACAUGCUCUAUAGUCUUUUAGGCCAUAUCUUAGGUCACAUAUGUCUUGUUGACACUUUGGAGCGCAUUGCGGUGGGGCUUGGAACUCAAGAUAAGAUACAUUAGGGAUAUCCUGAUAGGGGUUUUCUUCAGCUGCUUUACCACACUAUACUCACUAUGCUUCAUCAGCUUUAGGAAUUCACUGACUUCUUCCUCACUCACGAGUUUGUCUAUUUCGAUAUCUUUGAUGACAUCUACAAUCUCUUUGUCUUUGGCUUUUCAUUGCCUUUCUAGUUCUUCAAGCAUAAAACACCUGUCACUUUGAGUUAAUCCAUCAAUCUCGAUCUAAAACACAAGAGCAGGACCCUUAAUAUUAAGAGAAUUUUUGUAAUUAUGAGACAAUGCAUUAUAGUUCCCAUUGUAGGUAAUCGUAGGCCUUGUCAAGACGAGCUUUGGUGGACCGCUCUCGGUAUGUUGAUGCCUAUAUAUUUUUGCUUUCUUCCUCUUAGAAACUUAUCAUGCCUAUGACAUCAUCCUUUUCUCCUUUUCUAUUUGUAACAGAUCAUGUGUCAUCAUUUGUAUCACCUUCUGGUGAAACUCUUCACAUUCAUCGAUGUUAUGUCCUAUUGCUUCGUGGAACUUACAAAAAAUAUCACUCUUUCCUGGAUCUGAUUCAUUUUUUAUUGGCAAAUACCCAAUUUGCACUAACAUGUCAUACAACCUAUCUAUGAUUACCCUUAAAACCUUCCCUUUCUUUCUUACAAACUCCAUAACAUUUACUCUCCCACUACUAGAAGCAUGAUUAGAUAAGGGUUGAAAUUGAUAUUGGGGGUAUCUUCAAAGGUUAUCUAUCCUGCUUUAAAUAAUUGCAAGAACUUCACCUUCAAUGCUGAGCAAGUAUCAAUACUUUAGCUAGGGUUUCCGGCAUGAUACUUAUAGGUUAGGUAUGGUUCGUAUUAAUUUGAGAAGCGAGGUUUUAGUGGUGGAAAUGGGAGAGGAGCCAUAUGACCUAUGCUUAACAAUUUUAUAUAUAUUUCUCCUAAGGGCAUAGGUAUAUUCAAGAGUUGUUCUUAGUUUCUUUGGUAGUCUUUCUUUGAAUUGUUUCUGGCUUAGUUUUCUAGUAGGUUAGUAGGCUGAUUUACCGGAAAAGGGUUAUCAAAGUUAAUAUUGGAUAUUUGGGAAGAUGGGGCUUGAUAGCUUUGGGUUUAAUAAUUUCAUUUACCUUUAUACUCUUCUUCCACAUUGUUCACUUCAACAUCCCUUUUCUUCCCAGUAUACCCUUUCUUCUUAGCAGGUUUCAAAAUUGUACCAGCUCUUAUUCAUUUUUCUAUUCUCUGAGCAAUAACAACAACAUCAUAAAAAUAUUGGGCAAAGCUAACCACUAGAUGCUUAUAAUAUGAGGACUUGAAAGUAUUAGCAAAUAGAGUCACCAUCUCCUUCUCCAACCAAAGGGGUUAUACAUGCAUUCCCUUAUUUUUCCACCUAUGAGCAUACUCCCUUACGGUUUCCUUGUUGUUAUUCUCUAUCACCAUCAAGCUCGUCCACUCUAGAGCGAUGUCAAUAUUGAGCUUGUGUUAUUUCAAGAAAGCAUCAACAAGAUCACUUCAUUUCUUGAUCCUCAUGUUAUCCAAGGUCAUGUACCACUUAACGUAAAAUCGGUCAAGCUAUCUUGGAAGAAAUGGACGAGCAACUUCUCAUCAAAUAUGAAUUCUGUCAUUUUGUUGCAGUAUGACCUCAAGUGCGUUUGAGGACAUUCCAGUCUCGUAUACUUGACAAGUUCUGGCACCCUAAACUUCUUGGGCACUACUACAUCUAGCACCAAGCAUAUCUCAUCUGCUCUAACUGGGUCAUAAACGUCAAAUCCCUUAACAACUUACAAUUAAUUUCUAAUAUUUUCUUGUAUUGAUUUAUGGUCAACUCUCAACAUCCUCAAGUUAACUUCCAAAAUAGUUUUUGUCAUCCAUAAUUAUCCUUUUAAGGUAUGCUAACAUUUUGUUUAAUAUUUUUCCUUAUCAAGUCUUCUCUAUAAAAAUCCACCACAAAAUCACAAAGAGAGGUAGAUUAAGAGGUUAAUGAAAGAAAAAUCAAGUUUUUCUUAUUGAGGGCUAUGGUUUCAAAGAAAAAAAAAGGAGAAAGAGAAGUGAUUUUGUGGGUGCCAUCCAAGCUUUGAUCUUCCAUUUUCAUCUUAUUUGAAAGGUAAUAUACCCUCUCAAACUAAGUUUUUGUUGUGUUUUUGUGAUUGUGGAAAGUUUGAGACUCUUAGUAUAUUUAGAAAAUUAUUUUAUGUUGUUGUGAUGGGAUGAUUGUUGAUUUGAUGAGAAAUUGGUGGCUAAUUGGAUGAAUAAGCAAUGGGUAAGGUUUCAAUCUAAGAAAAAAUUUGAAGAAAAAUUAUCCUUCCCUUUUUAUAGGGUUUUGGCCAAAACAAUAAAUUAAAGGGGGAGAAUUGUUAACAUGAGAUUUUAUUGGUGUGUGUUAGAUUGACUAUUUGAUGAAUGUGUGAAGAAUUAAUUGAGAAAAAUUGGAAAGAAAACAUACCCCCACCUAAAUGGAAGCAUUCAACCAAAUGAAGAAAAUUGGAUGGAUUGGUGUGUUUGAAUACAUUGAUAAUUGAAAAGGGGUAGAAUUGCAAUGAAUUAAUUAUAAGAUGAUUAAUUGAUAACUUGGUUUUAAAAAUUUUAAGAAGAAAACAUAUACUUCUUUUUUUGGUGUUUUCAACCAAAAGGUAAAUGAAUUGUAUUGGAUAAGUAAAUUGUUUAUGUAUUGAUUUCUUUUCCAUAAAUGAAGUUAAUGUGAUGAUAUGAUGCAUGGAAAUUGUGUAGUGUAAUGAAAAUUUUAAAGAAAAUGUGUUUUCUUUAAAUGGUGGAAAAAAAACAAAUGACUUAAGAUAGAAAGAAAGAAAAAUAUUAUAAAAGGAACUUGAGUUUUCUUGAUUUCCAAACUCAAAGAGAAUUCAAGACAUCUACCAUUGAGUUGUUAAAAUUUGCAGGAGAGACUAUUGAGGGGGUACCGAGACAGGAUCCCACAGAUAGAGCUCAAACGUCAAGCAGGUGCUCGAGACCUUAUUAAUUCUAUUCUAUUUAAAUAUGUUAAAACAUCAUAUUUAAAUUAUUUAUUAUUCAAUUGUAUUAUUAUCUAAUAUGAUAUUGUACCCUGUUCUAGGCUGGAUGACUAGUUCUUUGGUUUAAGGACUAUUUACCCUGUUUUGGGCUAGAUGACUAGUUCUUUGGUUUAGGUUUAAGGAAUAUUUACCCUGUUUUGCGCUAGACGACCAGUUCUUUGGUUUAAGGAUUAGUGUCAUGUUCUAGGAUGUGAAACUAGAUACCUUGAAUAGGAUUAAUGCUCUAUUUCUGGACGGUGAGGAUUUUACCUUGAAUGAGGUCUCAUUACCCAGGUCGGGUAAAGGAAUAAAUCUUUUGGAUGUUCAAGGGAUUGUUGUAAUAAAUGUGAAGAAAAGAUGAAUAGGAAUUAAGUUAAUUGUUAACUAAAUUCCUAAUUGAUAUGUAUACCUUAGUUUACUCGAUACAAUCUAUUAUAUUGGAUUGGAAAACUUUAUGUUAUAUUAAUGAAUUACUUUAUCAUAUAGAAUAAUUUCAGGAUCCUUGCAGCUUUGCUGGGAUUAGUAGACGACGAACCCUUGCAUUUUUUAUUUAUAAGAAUAUUAAUUAUGUUACAUUCUAUAAGUAAUUUUUAGGAAUGAUAGCAUGAAUGUAAAUAUUGUAUUGUAACUAUAAUGCUAUGAUUUUAUGAUGUUUGGAACUUAAAUAUUAAUUAAAUCCAUGAAUAUCUGAUGUAGAUUUUAAUUUGAUAAUGUUUGUGUUAAAUUCCUAACGUAGUAGUUAAAUGAUACUUAGUUUAAUUUAUAAGUGGUCAUGUUCCAAUUAUUGUAUGGAUGAUUCAAUUGGAAAAUUUCAAGUAGGAAUUUUAUAUUGGCGUAACUUAAUUUAAAUGGCUUUUCAAAAAAAAAAUUUAUUGAGAAAUAAAAAUUAUUAAACUUUUGUAUGAGGAUUAAAUAAUGUAACAUGGGGAUGUUACAUUAUGCUUUUUAUAUUUUAAAAAUUUGAACAUUUUAUAUUGAUAAGUAUAUGUAUGUAGUGAACUAUAAUGAAAUGUGAUAGAUGUGAUGUGUGGAGUUGUGAUGUGAUGAGUCCAGAAUGAUUGGACAAUGAAUGGAAUGUGAAUUGAUUGAAUAUUGAAGUGUAACAGGUUUUUAGUUGAUAAGUUGGGAUCUCCUGAUAUAGAGGAGAUUAUAUCAAAAUUUCAGUAAAUUUCCGAAUCUAAAAUUUUAUAUAUAUAUAAACUUCACUCUAAAAAUUGUAAUAUUCAUGAAAAACUAAGUAAAGAUUGCAUAUAAUUAAGGAUGUUACAUUUCUUCUAUCAUUUUUCUCUUUAAUAUAUCUUGGUCUAUUCUAACCUUUAGAGGAAAUGUUUAUAUAGAGACAAUGACUUCUAGCUUCUUAGUGAUUAUAUCUUUAACAUAGAUCAUCAUGUGAUCAAUAUUGCUAACCUCUAUAAGAGCUAGUGAUAUCCUGUCGAAUAAUAAUCCUUCAAGUGCACCUCUUUCAAGCAACAUGAUUGGUGCUGGAGGUGGUUUUUUUUAACUGUUUUUUUGUUAGUGCAAUAAUAUCUAUGACCUAUUUUUUUAGACAAUGUGCAUGGCUAAACAUCCUUUCUCCCUUUACCAACGUGCUUAGGCAUUGCAUCCUCCUACCUUUAUUUCCAUCUUCUUUCCAAAUCUAGGAGAUGUUGGUGGUGACUGACAAGAUUCUCCUCCUCCUCAUCACUAAACUUGGAUAACUUCUACUCUAAAUUGUGUGCGUACCAAUCAUUAUCAACCUUUCUUUUAAACCUAAAUUCUUUGGCCUGUCCUUAAAGCAUUACUUGUACAACAUUAGACCCCAACUCAUUACCUUUAGGAAAAUUCAUAUGGUAUGUAAGACAACUAUAUACCUUAUCAUGAAUUAUAUCUUUUGCUUGUCAAACUAUGUUUUUUUCCCAUUGUAUGUACCUUUUCCCAUUACUAGUAAUUGUGACCAACAAUUGACUCUAUCAUGAUCAAUAAGCCUUUAUCUUUUGGAGCUCUCCUUCUCUAAGGACCCCAACAGUCUAGAGAAUAACCACUAUUGUAAUGACUUUAGAUAAUGGAUUAUCAUCCAUUUUUGUUGAUAUGAACCAAGUCAGGUCUGAAUUUGGCCUUAAAAUGUUUGCUAACCAGUCUUGCAAGAUAGGACAUAUUUCUCAAACUGUACAUCAUAAUGAGUUGACAAAUUACAGGGAGAUACUAGACACAUGUAACUAUAUUUUGGUAAUUGUUUAGGUCAAAUGAACUUCAAAAACAUAUUAUUUUAGAGGGUUGAAAUUACUAGACAAAUCUUGUCAAAUUUACCAGACUAGAUCUUUGUACACUGUUUGGACAUAUCUGGAGUUACAUGUGGAAUUUCACUGAGAUUCAAGUUGGGCUGAAAACUAUACAUCACAAGUUUUCCAAUAAUAUAUGGAAGGCCUAGUAAUUCAUCCAUACAAAAAAGAAUGACGUGUUUUAAAUCAGGACUGGAGAUCUAUUAAGAAUAUGCGAAAAUUAAAUAUUCGGCUACAUAGAAGAAUUUUGGCAUGAAGACUUUGUUUUUUUUGUUUAAAUAGAGGCAUUAUUUUUAUUUCCCUAAUAAUUAAUUAACCAUAAGAGGAAAGAAAAAAAACCUUGGUUGAUGUAUGAAAGGUGUAAAAUAUAUCAGAGUUAAAAAUAGAGGCGACAAAAUAUAAUAUUAUUCUAUUCUAUUUAUUUUUGAAUAAUUAUUUUUAAUUUGAAUUUUUUUUUUGGUUCAUUAGACAUUGUUUAGGGGUUUAUUACAUUAUUGAACUUAUGUUAGUUGAUUACUAGUUUAGGUUCAUUAGCUUGCAAGCUAAAAGAUGUUCAUUAAGGUUAGUUAGAGGAGACUAUAUUAUGUUUUUUUAGCUGCAAAUUUUAGCAGCAAGUUGGAGAAUAAUUUCCUUUUGAUUGUUUGUAACAAAACAACCUUUCUUUAUAGGGACAAAGAUCGUACACAAGUUUAUCGAAGAUUAACUGGUUUUGUGGUGUUAUUUGCAUACUUAGGGUUCUUAGAUAUAAGGUUGUCUUUGGGUCCAAGUUUUUUUUCAAAUAUCUUUGGUUCUUAGGUACAUGAUUUCUCUGGGUCAAGGUUCUAUCAAACUUGAUUUUUAGCUUUUCAGGUUAUUAUCUACUUCGUUGGGGGUUACUUGGCCAUGUGAUCAAGAGGUCCGCAUCAUUUAUCUUCUGAUAUGAAAAAUGGAUAUGUCUAGAUUCCAAAGCCUUCUAGAUUUUAUUUCUAAAGAUUAUAUAACUAUUUUUUUUCAUGUUUCUAAGAGUUAUGAAACUUGCAGUAUUGCUUCCCUUGACUUUAUUAGCAAUAAAGAUUGUAUGAUUUCUAAGGAGCUUAAUUUUCCUCUCACGCAUUAAUUGGUCAAGGAUUUCUUCAGCUCUUUUAAUGUCAAAAUAGUAUUCCUUGUCUUCAACUACUUUUAUAGAAUUUGUUUCCUUGCUACCAAGUUUAACAACCUUUUUAGGCUUUCUUAAUGCCAUGACCUUAAAUGACCUUAAAUGGUCUCUCAUCUUUUAUUUCAGCGACCAAUAUGAGAUGUUGUUGAAUUUCCUCAAACUCUUUAUUGGAGGCUUCAUCAAUCAUGAUACGACAUUGUAGGAAGAGCUAAUAGGGUAAGUUCCUCUUAAUGGAUUCUUAUAUGUUGUUUUUGUUAGCUUUGCAACAUCAUCCGUGAUAUCUAAAUAUUUAGUUUCUAUAUACAUUCCCUCUCUAACAGUAACUUUAUGCACUAAGUCCCUCUAGCAGUAUUAAACUUGGUGCUCUUUCAGUAUUCUCCUUAUUAAUUAUAUGCAUAUACGAUGAAUUUCACUACCAAAAAAUCGAUAAAUACAAAAAAAAAUACCGAGGGAAUUACAGUGGGGAAAAAAUUAAAACAAAGCAAAAAAAAAUUUUGACGUGUCAUUUUUACCAACGGAAUUACCGAUGGAAUUAUUUCGUCGGUAAAUUCGUUGGUAAAUUGUGAACACUGUUCAUCAUGUCAAUUACAAAGGAAAUCACCGAUGAAAUUUUCCGUCGGUAUUUUCCAGAGAGCUCCAGAACUGUUCACUUUCCAAUUGCACUGUUAAUUGUUGUUCUUUAUGGACAAAAUCACCGACGGAUUGAAAAGCCGUCGGUGUUAUUUGGUGGUUUCAGAAAAAAUUCAAUUGAUUUAAAAUUUUCAUUUAAAUAUUACAAAGGGAAUCACCGACGGAUUGAAAAAUCAUCGGUAAUUGUUGGCGGUUUCUGAAAAAAAUUUACGAAAUUGAAAAUUUAAAUUAAAUAUUACUGAUGGAAUUACCUACAGAAUAAUUAAAAAAUAUUAAUAUUCAAUUAUCCGUCGGUAAAUCCGUCGCUAACGCGCCCCAAUAAAAAGGCUGAAUCCCCUUAUUUCACAAAAGACAGACUCAUUUCUUAUUCUUCUUCUUCUUCUACUUCUUUUUCUUCUUCUUCACUAUAUGUAAAAAACAUCAAUAUCUAUUUCUUUCUCUUCUUUUCUCUCCUCAUCCCCUUCUCUUUUUCUCCAUGCUCGGGUAUGUCUUCUUCUUCUUUCUUUUUUUAUCCUCUUAGUUUUUUUUUAAUUAAUAUGCUUUACAAAAAAAAAUUUCUCUUCUUAGCUUCACUUGCAACUACAUUAAGGUAAGAUUUUUCUUUUUUCUUCUUUUUUCAUGAUGUUUUUCACUAUAUUUGUUUUUUAUUUUAUUUUUAAUUGUUUUUGUUCUUAAUAAUUGUAUAAAUGUUGUUGUGAGAUUUGUUUUUUCAUAUGAAAUCAAUUUUUAGUUGAUUUAUUUAUAGGAUUUUUAAAUUUUUAGCAAUUGCAACUUUAUUUUUUUCAUAUGAAUUUUUUUUUUAGUUGAUUUAUUUGUAGGAUUUUUAAAUUUUUAACAAUUGCAACUUUAUUUUUUUCAUAUGAAAUCAAUUUUUAGUUGAUUUAUAUUAUAGAGUGUUGAUUUAUGUUAAUUUAAUUAUUUUAUAAUUUUAUAAAAUGAAUUUUUUAAAAUGUUUUUAAAUAAUUACCGACGGAAUUACCAAUGGAAUUUCCGUCGAUAUAUCCCUUGGUAAAUCCGUUGGUAAUAAAAAAAUAUUAUUACCGACGCGUCUGUUCCAUCAGUAAAUUCAUCGGUAAUAAUAUUUUUUUAUUACCAAUAGAUUUACCGACGGACAAAAAAUUAUCGAUGAAAGAUUCACCAAUGGAGCAUUUCCGUCGGUAAUCUUAUUGGUAAAUUAAUUACCGAUGAAAUAUGUGUCUUAUGUCGAUGAAAAAAUUUCAUCGGUAAAACAGUUAAAUGUUGUAGUGUUUCUACCAAAUCAAUAGACGUGUGAAAUUAAUUCUUCAUAUAUAGUUUACUUUUUUUUUUUUUGAUAACCCGGGGUGUCCGGACCAGUUUGCGCGCACCACGACUAUUCCCCGGGUCUACUGAACAUCCUGCAAGCCCAGUAGACAGGUAAGGCACCACGGGAGUGACAGGCGUGCACAUGGAAGAUCGAACUCGGGACAGGAGCAAAGCAAGCCUCACCUGUUGACCACUGAGGUAGACCCUCAAGUGCUAUAUAGGUUACUUCUUGAUUUAAUUAGUCGAAGCUGAGAGAAAGAUUACAUAUAUGGACCCACCUUUCCGCUCAAGUAUUGCAUAAUCUACUGAAAAUCACGCCACUUAGCCGGAUGAUUAUAUAGUGUCUGCUAACAUUUCGUAACAAAACCAAAUUUCAUAAAUGUCAUUUUCCUUUGCUUCCGCAGACGGCAUGCCUCAUUUUCCUCAGGUCUGCAAUGUGCAGGGCUUGCUUAUUCAUGGGGUGCCCCAUCAAUGCAGCAACAGUGAGAGAAAUCAAAAUUUCCCUUGUAGUUUACAACUAAAAUCAUGAGCAACAUAUUCUCCUCUUGCGCAAGCUAGGGUGCACUCAAUAUCUACAAUGACCUUUCUUAGAUAACAAAAUAAACCCUAGAAUUACACCACACUCUUUGCAGCGCAUUCACAAGAGGACGUUUCACAACCUUUUACCACUUUUCCCGCGUCAACCCUUCCUUUUUGUCGCAUUUUAAAAUCGGAGUCUUGCACCCCAUUUGGUCUCCAUCUCUCACCUAAGGAUCCAAGACCAACUCUCUCAUUAUCAGAAAUUAAAGAAGAAGACGACGACCAACUCUCUAACUAUCAAAAAGAAUAGAAGAAGAAGACCAACUCUCCCCCACUCAAAUCCCUAAGCAAUGCAACUCGUCAAGAUAAUCUUCGUUAUAGCUAUAACAACGGCUUUCUCCAUCGCUCUCACAAUGAAAAGUGUUGUCGAAGUUGAAGAGAAACAACCAUAUGAGCAUAGUAUUGAUACAUCAACGACAUUGUCUCAAGGGCUUAUCAUGCAUGAUGAAAAGAAGCUAAUGCCUUCAAAAAGGUUGAGUCGGUUCCUCACAGAAGAAAAAAACCCUAGAGCAGCUGACCACUGCUACAAAGACAAUGAAAUAUGCCAUAUUCAGCAGGGUAAAAACCAUAAAUGUUGCAGCAACAAGUGCAUGGACUUAAAUACAGACAAACACAACUGCGGUUCAUGCAAGAGAAAGUGUAAAUACACAGAAGAUUGUUGCAGAGGAGAGUGUGUACUGCUUUCUCUUGAUAAGAGGCACUGCGGGAGGUGCAAUAACCGGUGCCAGGACGGAGAAUUUUGCGUCUAUGGAAUGUGUAAUUAUCCAUAAGAAGGAAUUGGGAUGAGGUUCGUUAUUUAUUCAUAAUACAAUAAUAAAAUAAAAUAAAAAACCCACAUUUGGGUGGUUCUCCCACGAUUUAUAUUGCUAAUUACUUCUUUUUAUAAUGUUGAUAAAAAAACGAAUAUAAUUUUUUUCAACCCUCCAGGAUUUAUCUCUAUGUAAUACUACAAUGAAAUUUAAGUAACACGUAUUUUUUCCUUAUCAUUGAUCGCAAUUCACACAACUUUUGGGUUAACGACGUCAAAGGGGAAACAUAUAAGAAUAUAUUUUUGAGUUAAUAUAAUUCUAUGAAUUCAUGAGUUCUGCUCAUUGUUUUCUAACUAAAAUUAAAUCAGAUUCAAGUGGUGUGGUUUUCUUGGGAUCGUUAAUCAUAUUUAUUCAAAUGCAAAGAAAAUUAAUUCAAUCUCCUCAUAUCCAUUCCUUUCAUGAAUUAUAUAUAUAUAUAUAUAUAUAAAAGGGCGGAUCUAUAUACAAGACUUGGGUGGGCUAUAGUCCAGGUUAAAAUUUUAUCAAUAUAUUUUUUUUGUACUAUUAUUAUAUCAAUCCAAGUUACAUUUAAUUAAAUUAGCUCAAGAAAAAUAAGUUUUGUCCAUAAAAUUAGCAACCUUCUUUUUAAUUAAAAUUUCUAUCUUUUUGAGUUAAGAGAGUCAAAUUCAAAAAUCAUAUUCCCAUCGUGCUAGACUACUUAUUGUUUGUCUACAUAUUUAACUCACAAAAUUUAACAAAAGCAACACAUCUUUCUUUCUCCAUUUAUUGUAUGGUACUAUCCAUCACACAAAUUCAACUCAAUCUUGUCUUAACUACUAAAACAUUACUUCAAACUUUAAAAGAUGUUGGAUUUGAUAUUCUCCUUGCACAUGUGCAAUCUGUUUGCACACAAUAUGAGAUUGACGUGCAUCAUAUAAAAGGCUACAAGUCAUUCAUGUCAGCAACAAGGAUUGGUGAGAAUUUACUAACAUUGUCAUUAUAAUAUACUUAACUGAGCAAUAGAUUUUUAUUUGGAAGAGUUGAAUUCUAGAUUCAAUGAUGGGACAAUAAAACUUCUUGUACUUGGCUCUUUUUUAGAAUCUAAGGAUAACUUUAAAUCAUUUAAAGUUGAUGUUAUUUAAAGCUGAUGUUAUUUAAAGCUUGUUGAUAAUUUUUAUCCUGAAGAUUUCAAUGAAUAAGAGAUGCAUUUUUAAGAUCUCAACUAAAGUAUUAUCAAAUUGAUUUGAUUUAUCAUAAGAGCUUUCAGAAUAUGUCUACCAUUUUUGAAUUAUGUAGAUGAUCGAUUAAUGAAAACAAAUAAGUUGUAACACAAUCAUUUGAUUAACAAGUUGAUUCGUCUUAUUUUGACUUUGCAAGUUUUCAAUACUGCCACCAAAAAGUGAGCAUUUUUAGCUAUGAAGCAUGUUAAAAAUAUGUUUCAUAAUAAAAUAAAAGAGGAGUUCUUAGCAUAUUUUAUGAUGAUUUACACUGAACGAGAGUUUGUUGAAGAUAUCUAUUUAGAUUCGAUUAUAGAUGAAUUUUAUUCCACAAAACAUCGAAGGGUGCAAUUUCAAUAGUGAAUUUAUUUUUACUUUCACUUCAAUUUUAUGUAUUUUCAAAUUUAUUUUUUUAAUAUUUUGAGUCAUGUAUUUGAAUUAAAAUUUUAUUGUUAAUUUUAUAAAUUCAUGUUCAUGAGUUAAUGAUUGAUCUUAAAAAAAAUUAUAUAUUUGUUUAGCAACCCAGGGCGGAAUAAAUUUCUGGCUCCGCCCUUGUGUGUGUGUGUGUGUUAGUUGGUUAUUGGCUGCAAUUCUAAAAGUACAUAAAUUGCAAUUAUUUUUAUCCAAAUUAUUUUGUUCUCACUUUAUGGUUGAAAUAGUAGGUUAUGAGCAUAUAUAGAGGUUGUCACACUUUAUGAAUAUAUGGCAUCGCAGUUUUGUAGGAACCGUUUGCUCUUCUUGGAGUAUAUUUUUUGUGUUUGAACAAUACCUAUAUUUCUAAAGUUUCUUCAUUUGUUCGGCUGGGACAAUAACAUGUGUGUGUGUGUUUAAUAAGCAUGCAAGAAAUGUUCCUUUUUAAGAAUUUACGAAUUACCUUUGCGUCUUAUGUAAAAUCAGAUUAGAAGUGAAUUAUUAUGCGACCUUAAGCAAAGUCAUCCUUUAUUAUCUAUAACAUAAUGUUAUUCUUCUAAGUGCGUGUUUGGCGCCGCGACUGCGACUGUGUUUACAGAAAAACAUUAUUGUCAUGUGUUUAGUUACAAUCUAUUACUGUUUGUGGGACCAUGACCAUUUGCGGUUAAACCGCAAGACAACCAAAAGCAACUUCAAGCUGUUUUUUGUGCUGAGUUGCAAACUGUGUUUAUAAACAUAGUAAAUAGAGACGCGUAAGAAGAAGAACAGAAACAGAGCAAUGAACAGUGCAUAGUGGAGAGCAACUCCCUCAGUUUACCACCGGCUUUCACCAUUUCCACUGCCAAACACUAAUCUUCCUCUUCCUCUUCCCCUUCUCCUUCUCAUUCGUCUUCUGCAUUAUCCAUUGUUCAUGUUGCAUGUGAACAGUGGAGAGCAGCUCACAACCGGCCUCCGCCGUUUCCACCGCCAGCCACUUCUCCUUCUCCUUCUCCUUCUCCUUCUCCUUAUGCAUUCUCCAAAGUUCACGUGAACAAUGAAUAGUGGAGAGAAUCUUCAAUGUUCAUGGUUGGACUGGGUCCGACCCACAUCUAAAUGCCCAGUGUCUGGGUCCGACCCAAUAAAAUAAAAAAAAUCCAAAAACAUUUCUCAGAUAAUAUGUUUUAUUUGAAAAACCAGUGUUUAACAUUAUUUAAUGACAUUACAUAAUUAUAUUAGAAGAAGAUCGCAUGAUGACGUAGCAUUUGCAGAAUUUGAUCGCAAUCCCAAUUUUGUUCCUGAUGAUAUUUUACCUGAUGUUGUUGCACGCUCAGGAAGCCAUGAAAACUGUAGUCUUUGUCAGAUGGAUCUCGUACGUGAUGGAAUUGCAAAUAGUUUAAUGGAACAAUAAAAAAUACUUUAUAUAAAUUAUUGUUUAUUUCAUGAUGUAAUAGCAGUAGUUAAAUGUACAAUAUUUCAAUUAAAAAUCAUUAAUAUUAAUAUGUCUUUUUUAGUUAUUUUAUAACCUCAAUUUGAAAAGCAUUAUUAACCAAACACAUUAAACUACUUUUUGUUCAACCUCAAUUUCAACCACAGUUUUAACCAAACAUAUAUUUUUUUCAAAUCAACCUCAACUAAAAGUACUUUUUAUAAAAACAACUUUUUUCAAACCACAACAGCUACCACAAUUCCAAACACACUCUUAAUAAAGAUCUUUUCAAUCGUUUUUAUUUUUUUAAAAUAAGAAAGUUUAAUUCUAGUAAAACUUGAAGUGUGUGUAUGUGUGUGUUAUUAACAAAAACGAAAGUAUGUAGGUUAAAUACUUUAGCAUUUUUUACUGUUCACCAUCUCAUAAUUAAUUGUGAAUAUUAACAAAAACUAAAGCAUAUAGGUUAAAUACUAUAACAUGUUUUACUGUGAAUUGUAAUAGUGAGUUUUUUUUAAAAAAAAAUUAUUUUGGUCCUCAAACUUUUUUCUUAUAUAGUUGGGUCAUUUUGAGCUCAAAUUAGUACCCAAUUGCAUGUUUUUUUAGAACAAAUGGUUGAAUUGAAAGAAAUAAGACUAAAGUGAAAAAAGCAGGUAAAAUAGGUGAUAAUUUUAAAUUUUAUGUUAAAAGUUCAUUUUAGCCUUACAUGUUUUUAACUAUUAGGUAAUAGGUCUCUUUAAUUUUCAAAAAUUUAAUUUUGGUGUCAAAGUUUAUUUCCCACAUUUUUAGUUCUUUUUUGGUUAGAGGACAGAGAGGAAUUCUCAUAUUCUAGUGUAGAGAAAAGAAGUUGUUAUUGACGACAAUUCUAGCCAUCAAUAGGUUGGAUUUAAUGAGGUAGAUUUGACCGCGAGAAUAAUUUUGGGUUUGAGAUGUCUUUUUAGUUUGUUUUUGAGAUAAUACUCUAUUAAAAUAGUUUGAUUUUAAAAUGUAUUUUUUGUUUUGCCAAACAUGACUUUAAUCUAAAUUAAAUAAAUAUUUUAAUUUUUUAAAAGAUCAUCUUGCCAUUAAUUUCAAGUUCCCCAUAUUUUUUAACCCCUUCAUAUUUAAUAUUUGAAUUUAUAAUCUACACGCGAUGUAUUUUUUUAAUAUUAAAUAAAUCAGUUUCCUUCUAUAAAAAUAAUAAAAUAUCUUUUUUUUAAAUACAAUUUUAUUUUAAAUUACAUACAACUAAAUUUCUAAAAAACUAAAAAGAGGAGCAUAAUCAUAAUCUUGCCCUUAAACUCUACUUCUUCUUGCUUUUGUCGGCGAUGGGCUCUGUACCCCCCGCAGGUGGCUAGAAAUGCGACAACCAACGCUACAGUUGCCAUCUAAGAGUGCGAGGGAUUGCCCCUCGCGCUGCGCAGCCUCCAACGUGAGGCUUCUUCCUCGAGAUAGGCUUCCAGCAGCGCUUGACAGUGCUGGCGUGAGGCUUUAGCAGCAGCUAUGGGUUGCUGCUGAUGAAGCGCUGGCAACCUCUCACGCCUGGCACUACUUACAGCAGCGCCCAUGAUAGCCAUGAAAAUUGACCUUUUUUUUUAGAAUUUCUGGUAAAUUCCGACCAAAAUAUCAUAUCCUAGCCAGAUUCAAAUAAUCGAGUCAAAUAUGAUCAAAACAAUAGCAAUUUAUAUUGGUUUUUAAAAAAUACAGUAGAGAAAAAAUAAUUUUAAAAAAAUAAUUUUUUCACAUAAAAUUAAUUCAAAAUUAAUGUGAAUAACAAUUAGAAUAUGCAAUAAUCCUAAUUGUCUAAUGAUUACUUUGAUACCAGUAUUUCAAAAUCCUUAUACAUAGCAGAAACUAUAAAUUUAAAAUCUUUUCAAGAGUUUCAAUGAUCUUGUUAGAUAAAUUUAGGGUUGUUUAGGGUUUAUAUAAUGAAUACUUGAAGAUAAAUUUUUUUUUUUUUACUUUGAAUAAUUGCUUUAAGGUUGGGUUAAUGUAAACCACUAUCUAAAUGUUCGGCUUUUAACAGUAAUCUAUACGAACCACUAGUUAGAAAUCUCUUAAACCCUUUUAGGUGAGAAAAAUUCUUAUAUAUUUAAGUGCUAACUUUUUAUAUAUAUUUAGGUAUUUCUAUAUUGUACUCUUCUAACAUGAAAUAAGAGACAUUAUUUUUUAUUUAUAGGCAAACUUAAAAACUCUAUAAAUAGCAAAAUAUUAAUUUUUCACUUAAAUAAUAUCACAUAUAUUAUUUUAGUCUAAUUUUAGAAAUUUAUUUAAUUAAGUCCUUACUUGAUUGUUUCUAGGUCUAAAAUCAUAAUUCUAUGUGUUAAUUACAUUCUAGUCCUUAAUUUCUAAAAUUUAUUUACAAUCAAGUCACACUUGAUUAAUCAUCAUUUUAAUUUCUGACCAAUGGUUCUUAUAUGUAUGAGUCAUUAGAUUCUCUAAUAAGUUGACCAAAAUAUAAAUUAUAAAAUAAAAUAAUUUAUUAUUAAUUCAAUAAUCGAUUGAUUUAUAUUUAAAGAUCAAGUACAAUAUCUAGCAACCUAUUAUGAUCCCUUAAAUAUUAGAAAAGUAAUAAGUAGUUUGACUUAACAUUUCAGUGAUUGGUUUCUCAAUAUAAUAUUAUUAUUGCUUCAUCAACAAUGUUAUGAUUUAGACAUUAUAGCAUGAAGUGUGUCUACUCCGUCAAAUUAUGUUUGCUCUUAACACCAUAGUCAUUGAUUCUUUGAAUAAGUUUUGAAACUAUUUUGAAAUCUCAUUCCACCUUAUGCAAAAAUUUACAAUCAAUACUAUUUGAGAACAAGUAAAAUGUUUUUCUUAAUUCACCUCGAGUAAUGAAUCAUCUCUUGAUUACUUAAAUAUCUUUAUAUAGUUCAUAAUAUACUCAAUAUUUAUUCAUUUGUUACCCUUGAUUAGGACAAUGUGUAACAUGAUCAUAGCAUAACAUUCUCUAUAUAAAAAAACUCAGUGAUUUCAAGUCUAAAAAUCACUUAUACAACCGUCACGUUAGUCUUUUUAUAAACAAUAAUGAUCUCUUCAUAUGAAAUUCUAUCAGAGUCAAUUCAGUGUACAUGUUAUCUGACAAGUAACAUAUUAGUUCUAGAUAUCCCUCAUCCCUCAUCCCUCAACUUAUUAGUACAACUAUUUCAUUUCAUAAAGGAAAGAAUAUAAUAUGUAUCAUUCUUAACUACUCUAAUUAAUAUCCAGUUUUAAGAGAGUAUUGGUCAAGAACAUUUUAUAAAAAAUACUUUGAUGCAAUAAUAAUUUUAUAAUUAUAAUAAUUUUAUUUGUAAAAUAUUUUUGUUUCAAAAAUUUUAUUAUUAUAGAUUUAUUAAUCAAAUAUUUAAUAAAUACUAAAAAUAAAUAAAUUUUUAUUAAUAAAUUAAAUAUAUUUAGAUGAAUAAAAUCUGCGUAACUAUUUAAUUGAUUAUCCCUAAUUGGAACAUGAUCUGUAAGGUUACAACUUAGAAGAAGCCAACAAAAAUAUCUGCACUUGAGACGUUUAAAGCUGCUAAUAUCUCUUAUCUCUUCCUUCGAUUUCCCACCUUACCUCGCCCGGAUAGUUGAGAGAAAAAUGUUUUCUUCCUCAGUCUGCAUGCCGAUUUCACCAUCUUCCCACUCUCUCUUGAAAGCAAAUCACAAUCCUCUUCAGGGAUCGAAACCAUCAUGUUCUCCUUCGAAAAUAAGAGCUUCUUAUUUGACUACUCGAGCUCUUCUCUCAACUACCAAAGAAACAGUGUUGAAGGACUUCCAUGAGCGAAGAGCUCUCAAGGCAUAGCUAACCCCACCUUCUUUGUUUCUUGCAUUUAUGUCUUUUGUAGCUUCUUGGUUAUUCUUUUUUGAAGUGGACGUUCCCGUUUUACUCAGGAAACCCAAAUACCUAAUAACCAGAUAUUUCUCUUGUUUCAGCAAUGUCAUAUAUACAAUCAUGAUGUUCAAAAUUCUGUUUUCUUUGCUUUGAGAAAAUCCCAUCUUCUUUUAAUCUUUUCCUUUGAAUGUCAUGGAUUUUACACCCUUCAUCUGGAUUCAUUUUGAAUUUUGGCCUUUCAAUUAUAUUUGAGAACUAUAUUUUUGUUGUGUCCUCUACAGAUUAUCUCAGGUUUGCAGAAUUUUAAUAAAGAAAAUGUUGCUUCAGUUGUUACUGCUGCGGACAAGGUUUGCAGAGAUUCUUUGUUAUCAGAUAUAUAAGUUGCUGCGGUUUUUUAUUUUAUUUUAUUGCGAUCCAAUAUCAUUAAAUGUGCAGGGGGGAGCAACUCAUGUGGAUAUAGCUUGUGACCCAGAAUUAGUGAAGCUUGCCAUUAUCCUAACUUCCCUGCCUGUAAUAUUUCUCACUCUUUAAAUGGCUAUAGCUUGAUUCUUCUUUUUUUCGUAUUAUAUACAUAAUCAGAGAAAACUUUCUAAUAAUUUUUAGAAAACUAUUUUAACUGGGGAGUCUCAAUGACUUUCAUAUGCACAUGCUUAUAUAUCGCUUCUAUUUUAUCACAUUUGCAUGUUUUAAUUUACUGAAAUACGGAUUAGAUGACAUUCUAGGUGUUUUUACCACAAUAUAUCUUUCUUAAAGCUUACAUGCUUUUCAUGUCACAAGUAAUGGUCCCUUCAACACCAGAUUUGGAAGUUCCGGGUUGGUGCAGGGUUCCUCCCUUCAUAAUGUCAGCAAUAAACUAAAGAAAAAUAGAAAGGGGAAAUGUCAUAGAAACAAGCAUUUUGUAAGACCAAACCACUAAUUGGCAUCUAUUCUGGCCUUAAAUCCUGAUGUUAGGAUAUUUCAGUGAUUUGUUUGCACUAUCAAAACCGUCAAUUGCUGCCCAAUGAUCGAACUUAAAGACCUUAAUUCUUAAUAGCAAGAUCCUGAUAGAGCUGAAAAAUGUUCAGAGUCGUGCAUGUAGAUAUAGCUCCAAACAUGUUCAAAAUCAUACAUACCAUUUUCUUUUUCUUUAUUUCAUUUGGAAUUUCCCAAACUUGCAGGUUUGUGUUUCUUCAGUGGAACCAAGAGCAUUUCUAGCUGCUGUUGAAGCAGGAGCACAGAUGGUUUGAUCACAAAUUAACUCAUUUGCUUUCACUUUAUUUUUUACGCAAAUCUUUGAUCUUGGACAUCAAUGGCUUCUUAAGGAGGCAUAUGUAAGCUGAAAUGCAAAAUGAGAAAGCAAUUGUGUUGCCAUGUUAACAAGACUGAUGGUCUUUACAGGUGGAAAUUGGAAAUUAUGAUUCGUUUUAUGAUCAAGGAGUGGUUUUCUCUCCAGAGAAGGUAUCAAUCAACUCUUUAUAUGAUCAUGAGAAAGUAUUUUCUUCAGUUAUAAUUGAUUUCUGGGGUUGAACCUUACUCUACACGGUACUUUGAGCAAAUACUGUUUCCAAUUUCAGGACUUUCCAGUUCUCAAUGUCAUCAAUUAUCUACACUGUAUAGUCCAUCCUGUUCCCAACAUCUGUCACUAAUGCCCCAAAAUAAAAAGGCCUCGGAUAUUACUUUUUCCAACUGUCCAGAUUAGUCUUUCUGGUUUCUACAGUUCUGUUUCUGCUUUCUUAUUUAUAGAAGAAACUUGUGCAGAUAUUAAAUCUGACAAAGGAGACUAAAAGGAUUCUUCCAUCCGUGACAUUAUCAGUCACUGUUCCUCACACCCUAAGUCUCCCCGAUCAGGUAACAAGCAGCACUCGUCUAUUAUGGAAGGAAAGCACUAUCAUAUUUUGUGCACUGAUAUUCUUUUUAAAUGGAGAACAGGUCAAGCUUGCAGAGCUAUUAGAACAAGAAGGAGUUGACAUUAUACAAACUGAAGGAGGAAAGUGUUCUAAUCCUUCAAAAUCUGGUGUUCUAGGUUUGAUUGAGAAGGUAAUGCAAAACAAUCUUGCACUAUUUAUGGAACUUUUUGAUCAUAGAAUAAUUGCGGAGUAGGAAAGGAAAAUAGGAAAGUUUGGGUUUCUUAAGCAACUUAAUCAAUUUCUGGACCAAGCUAAUUUGAAAGAAAAAACCAAGAAGGAUAGGGAAAUGACUCAUAAAAAGAGAACAAAACAUUGGAUCAAAGAGGGGAAUUAAGCCCUGAUGUUCUACAUGAAAAAUAGACAUUUGGUAAAAAAACUCAUUUUUGGUUGUUAAAAAUUGCAGCUCAUCCUUCCUUCCUCAUUUUUGCUGUGAUCAUGUCCUAAAUUACUUUCGAAAUGUUUGAGUUGCCAUUCUAAUUAUCUGGUAAUACCUUAAUGUAUAUUUGACACAUCUGAUUAUGAGUUGAAACUGCUGAUGUUGAAAAAUAUUAAUGCAUUCAGAAUACAGAAGUUUCGUUAUUUAAGUGUGAGUUUUUAAUUAAUUAUUCAUAAAAAAGCUAGUUUUGAUUGUGUAUUUGUGAUAUUUCUUUUUUUCUUUUUCUAUUUAAACUUACCAGUUCGCAUUUCACUGUAGGCAACACCAAGCUUAGCAGCAGCAUAUUCCAUCUCAAGGGCUGUGAAGAUUCCAGUUAUGUGUUCAUCUGGACUUAGUGCAGUUACAGCACCAAUGGCCAUCACAGCAGGGGCAGCUGGUGUGGUAUGAAAAUUAAUUAACUUUCAUGAAUUUGAUCAUUCACAACUCUACAAAGUUGUGCUACAUAGAAUCAUUUCCUGUAGAAAAGCCAGCUGCUGUAACGCUGCAAUCAGGGCUGUGCAUGCACUCCAUACAUCUAUGGGGCAAACCAAGCACGAUGUGCUUGCUCGUUCCCAAUUGCUGCAGCACGCAGGCACCACUGCAGUUAACAAAUUCUUUACUCCUGAGAAUAAUGCUGACAUUAGCAUCACCUUUGAAACAGGGAGUCGGCUCAGCAAUUAACAGGCUAAAUGAUGUGGUGGCAAUGAUUGCAGAAGUCAGAAGCAUUGCAGAUUCAUUAGGCAGUUCAGCUGAUAGACGCACCAAAUCUGAAGAAAAAUCUGUGACAUUGUAAUUAGUACAUGUCCUGUGACUUAGGAAGACACUAGUUGAUCAAGGAAAGCACGAGCAGAAUAUCAAAAGUUCCAGCGAUUAAACAGAUGCGAGUAUAAUAAAACAACGUAGAAUUCCCGCAUCUAUAAGUUAAGGAGCAUUCAAGACUAUGAGAUAUGAUAGCAAUCAAGAAGAAAUUUGCAAGAUUUCAACCAUUCCUUCUUCUUUCUCUUCAAUCUCCUCUUUCUCACUCUUCACUUUCCAUAGCCAUCUCUCCUUUUCCUUUCCAAUUUCUCUUCAAUCUUGUGUUUUCUUCACAAAUCAUCAAGAAUUAUUCAUGGGUUUUUCGCUUGAAGAAGGAAUUUUGGAGAUUUUAUAGAGAAAAUAGAAAGUUUUCAUUUUUUUUUCCCUCGUGGCUGUUUAGCCGAUUAUUAUUUACAAAGGGAGAGAGUGAUGGAUUUUUUUUUUUUUUUCCUUUUAGCAUAGAUUUGUUAGUGGGCGACGAUCGAUUUAAUUUAUAUGUUUUUAAAUGAUUUAAUUAAUUUAAAUAAAUUAAAUUAAAUAGAUAACAUAGUUUAUUAAUUAUAUCUUUAUGUGAUUUCUAGAUAAUUUCUAGAUAAAUAGGGGACAACUAUUUAUCUAAAUAUAUCAUACAUAUUUCAUCUAUUUAAUUAUCUAAGGUAAUUAUGUAGAAUCUAAUUUUAUAGCAUUAAACAUAUUUGAUUCAUGAUAACCUUGAAUAGCUUAACAAGUUAUCUAUGAAUAGAAUUUUGAUCUUAUACAUAUAAAAUAGAAAGAUAAUAAUUCAUGUUCAUAACAUGUAUUUAAUAUAUCAAUGAGAGAUUUAUUAUUUUAAUUAAGUUUCAUUUCAUAACAUUAAUGAUAUAUCAUAUAUAUCAAUUAUACAUAAACAUACAUCCCUUGUAUGUCAUUCUAAACUAAUUCCCUCGAGAUAUCAAAGGAAAUUAGAUGGUCAAAACCUAAUUCAAAGUCUUUUGCAAGUACCAUGGUUAUAGCCUUCACCACCAUUAUUUCUUCAUAUUGGUUUAAAAAAUAAUUUUCCUAUCUAAAUUCAUAUAUUUUUAAAUUACAUAACAUUUACAUAAUUGAAUAAGAAAACUGGAGUUACAUUUAAGAGGAAUUAGAUAAGAAAAGAAUUUUACAACUCGGGAGAAAAAUAAAGAAAAGGUAGGACAUGCAAACCCUAUUUAUUAUUAUAAUCAUUCAACUAUAAAAACAUAAUCAUAUUGGUCUUUAAUGUUCAUAAUCAUCCAUCAUGCAUAAUAAAAUUUUAAUAUGCAUAAUAAAAUUAUUGCAUGUUUCAAUUCUAAUUAUUGCCUUUAUGUGUAAUUUUUUAAAUAAUAUUUCUAUCAUUUAUAAAUAUUAAAUAAAAUCCAAUUUGAUAAUUUCUCAAACAUAAUAAAAAAAUUUUAAUAUAAAUUAUAUUGGAAAAAAUAAUAAAAAAAUUAAUCAUAUCAAAAUUCUUAUUAAAAUCCUGAAUUAUUUUAGGAUCAAAUAAAUAAAACUUUAUGGCUUAAAAACUCUUUAUUUGAGAAAAAUAUAAACAUUAUUUAAUUAAACAUUUUAAUUAAAUCCUAAUCUAAUUAGAAUGUUACAAAACACAAAAAAAAAUUGAAUUAAAAUUUUAAUUAAAUCUUAAUCCUAUUAGAAAAAUUAAUUCUUUAAUUAAUUUGAUUUUGAUUUGAGUUUUAAUCUUAAAAUAUAAAAUUAAUAUUUUAUAUAAGGAAGAAUAGAAUUAUAAUUCUAUCACAAAAGUCAAAAUAAAUUACACUCUCAAAACCAAGGUUGUCAAUUCCGUUUCGGUAGGUAUUUUGUUUUUCAAUUGGAAUGAAAUGUUUCAGUUUUUGUUUUUCAAUUGGAAUGAAAUGUUUCAGUUUUGGAGUGUUUCGGCGUGCCGUUUCGGGGUUGUACUGUUCACACACACACACACACACACACACACAUAUAUAUAUAUUCAAUAAACAUAAUUCAAAUUCAAGAUAAAUUAAUUAUAAAUUAUACAAUACAAACACAAUGCCAAACAAAUAUAAUUUUAAAAUUUAAAAUAUUUCUAAAUAGUCAAGAUUAAAUAGAUUUUUAACUUAAAGUAAUUCAACUUAAACAAAAUAUCAAAAUAUUAUGAAAGUAAAAUGUUUUAACACAAAUAUUUUAAAUAUAAAGUUAGGUCAAUGUUAUCAAGGCUAAUGGAAUUUAAAGCAUCCAUUGUUUUGCUCAAAUUUCUACAAAGUAUAAACAUGAAAAAAACAACAUGAAUAUAAACCAUAUAUAUUAGUGAUAAAUCUAAUUUUAAAAAAUUAAUAUCAUUGUUAAUGAAAAUAGUAAUAAUAAUUUUCAAUAUUAUUAUUAAUGUCAUUGUUAUUGAAAAUAGUAAUGAAAAAGAGCUUUUUAUAAUUGGGUGGUUUAAUUAAUUAAAUUGAACAAGGUUCAAUUUGAUUCAAUGGCUUUUCAAGAGCGGAAAGGAACAUGUGGAAUGAAACUAGAACGUUCCGGGCGGAAUUUAGCCGAAAAAUCCGGAACGGACCGAGAUUUAAAAUGAGAUGAAAUUUGUUCCGUUUUGUUUUGUUUUUUGAAUUGGUAUGGAAUGUUUCGGUCAUUUCAGGCGAAACAGAACGGAAUUGACAACCUUGCUCAAAACCCUUUUAUAAUAAAUUGCAAGUGUCAGUGGUAUAAUAGUAAUUAUACCCCCAAAACCCUAAAAAGCACCGAGGACAGAAUCAUAAUCCUGCCCUUCUCCCUUCUUCUUCUCUUUGCUACUAUAGCCAUAUCAACGACAAUUAUGGCUACCGUUAGGCUACUGUCCAAGAGCGAUUAUGGCGUUCGAGGCUUCGCCAUGCAACACCCAUGGCACUAAGUGUUUGGCGCUGCUCACGGUAGUACCCAUGGCAUCAGGCAUUGCGUGCAGCAACGCCCACAAGGCGCCUAAUGCUACUCACAGCAACACCAAUAGCAGAUCUCCUUUUUGGUUUUCUACAAAAUUCUGGCCAGAUUAAAAAAAAUUCGGUCAAAUCUAGCUGGAAUAAUAGACUUUCAUUUUUUUUUUGAAAAAAUGAGGACAAAAAAAUUAAUUUUGGGAAAAUAGUUUUCACAUAAAAUUAAUUUCAAAUUAACACUAAUAACAAUUAAAACAAGCAAUCAAUAACCCUAAUUAGCUAACGAUGGCUCUGCUACCACCGUUGGAUUUCCCAAAACAUAUAGACGUAGUGAAAAAAUAAACUCAAAAUUUUUUAGGAGUCUUAAGGAUCCUGUUAGAAAGAUUACUUGAAGAUCAAGUAUUGUUUUUAACUUUGAAUAUUUGCUUCAAAGGUAAGGUUGUUGUAAACCAUGAGACAUCUAAUUAUAUGGCCUCUAACAGUAAUUCAUAUGAAUCACUAGUGAGAAAUCUCAUAAAUCCUUUUAGGAGAGAGGGAUUGCUAUAUCUUAUAGCGCUAACUCUUUUCUUUUGUGUUUUAAGCAUUACAGUAUUGUACUUUACUCACUUUUUUCACCAUUCAUUGAAAAUAAGAGGCACAACUUUUUAUUUAUAAAGAGACUUAAAAACCCUACAAAAUAUCAAUUUGUCCUUUAAAUGAUAUCAUAUAUAUUAUUUUAAGUUAAUUUUAAAAUUUUAUUUAAUUAAGUUCCUAUUUGAUUUUUCUAGAUUUAAAAAUAUAAUUCACUUUAUAAAUUACACUCUAGUAAUUUGCUUAACAAUUUUAUGUUAUAACUCAAGUGAUGGUGUGCUUUGCUUAAGUCAAGUUCAUGGGUUUAGAGUAUGGAUUGAUACAUAGUUUAAAAAUUGUCUUUUUUAAUAAAAAAAAAGGACUGAUGAUAAAAAAAAAAAAAAGGAAGCCCGGUACACAGAUUUUCUUUAUGCCUACGUGCUUAGACUUUUUAAACAAGCUCUGGCUUGAUAUUGUGACAAUUCAGGCUAAAGAACUUGGUUCACUUUCAUAUUACUAUUUGAUUGAUCAAAAGAGGAAUUUUGUAUAUGUAAGUUUUCAAUGCAACAAAUAUUGAUAAGCAAAAUUAACAAUAAUAGUAUAACUAAAUCACUCUUACACUAUUUUUUUUUCAAUUUUAUCCUUUAAUGUUUAGUUUUUAUUGAAUUUUAUCAUUUAAUAUUGGAUUUAUUGUGAAUUGAUUUUUGUAUUUUUAUCAUAUAAUAAACUAAAAAAUUAAUUCAUUUUUUUCUUUUGCAUGACAAGGUCAUGUCAGAGCAAUUUCCACACGAUUUAAUUUAAAAUCUGGGCUAAGUACAUAAUCGAAUAAACAAAUUUCAAGUUUGAAUUGUUAUACCGAGUUUAUUGAUAAUGUCAAAAAAAUUCCCGAUGCUCUAAAUAUUAUUUUUUUUACAUUCCAAAUUUUUUAGGGUCCAAAUAGUAGCGAUAACAUGAUUAAUAACCUAAUAAAUAAACUAAAUUGAAAGUGUGUUUUGUUAUUUUAGUUAUUUUAGUGUUAGACUCAACAACACUAGUCUUUCUUUUUCUCUCAACUUAGGUCAUAAAAAAGCAUUGUAUAGUUUAGAAGUUUUUACUUUUUUUCAUUUUUAAUACCUACUUUUAGAAAGUUUCAAAUUGUAGUAUGAAACUUUAACCUUUUUUUGUGUUUCAAUCCAUGAAAUGUUAUGGAAGAGAGAGACUCGUUAAAAAAUAGCAAAGGAAAGAGAAAAUUAUUGAUUGACUACAUUUUGACCACCAUAAAGACCAAUAUUUGUGUUAAUAGGCUUUUUCUUGACAAUAGCAGCUCUUGACAAUAUUAAUGUCACUUGAAAAAUUAGAUUGAGGCUUGAAAAAAAUUUAUUUAGUUCAGUUUAAUUUUAAAUUUUUGAACAAAUGUAAAGGUGUUUGAAAUUAAAAAUGGGUUUAUUGAAGUUCUUAGGUUGCAUUUUAGUGUUUUUAGGCAAAAAGAUGGUUGAAAAUGAGAUUUUUAAGUCAAAAAACAUGAACCUCAACUUUCCACUCUAAAAGUGAUUUCUAGUGGCUCAAAAGUAAAUCGGCAAAUAACACUUCAUCAAUUAUUUAAAAGAAUAAACAGGCGGAUGAAGUGUCGUACCCUCUAAAAAAUAAAAUUAAACCAAUUAGGCGUAUAGGCCUCAACUUCAAGACUCAUACACGCCUAACUUGUUUUUCAAGGGCCAUAAAUGCCUAGGAUGGAAUACUAGACCCAAACAUAGUUUAUCAUUUUCUAGUUAUCAUUUUUUCUCUUUUUUUAAGGAUUUGUACCCAAACAAAUCUCUUUAAAUCAAUUUACUAAAUACUAUUUAAGUGAUUAUCUAAUUAUUUCAUUGUUUUUAAGAAAAUCAGGGCUAUUUAUGAUGAUAUUAUCGAUUGUUUUAUGGAUAAUUAUAUAUCAGCCUAAUAUGCAGAAUUUUUUAAAUAUUGGCUUGUUAAUAUUUAUUGAGAACAAAAUGUCUAUUUUUUAUUGUAUUUUUUAUAUAAUUUUCUCGAACUUAUUGUCCUCAAAUCUCUUCAUAUAAGUGUACAAAAAUAAUUGAUUAAUAAUUUGCUUAUUAAUAUUUUUUAAUUGAAACUUGUUUUCACAAUCAUAAUAAGUUUUUACUUAGAAAAUAAUAUUGCUCAUAAAAAAUUAUUUUCUCUCAAAAUAAAAAGAACCGAAAGAAUAAGAAGAUUAGGUUUUAGAUUAAAAAUACACUUUUUUUUCCUUUUUAAUUCAAAUCAUUAUAGUUUUUACGAUUUUUUUAUAUUGUUUUUCUCCUCCAUAAUUUUAUUUUUUGUUUUUCUUAUAAAUAUCUAUUUUUAUUAUAGUAUAAUUAAAUAAAUAAAUGAAUUUAAAAAAAAAGUUAUAAAACUCGAUCAGACCCAUAACCUAGGUCACGAGUUAGGCAGGUUAAUCUGUGUCAAUCAAAAUCGUCAUUAUUUCAGUAUCUUUUUAAAUGUUAAAGUGAUGUCAUUUUGAAAAAGAAAAUUAAAAAGUGAAAUAGAGUUAUGACUAGUUCAACCAAGGUAUGAGUGGACCCAUCAAAUCGAUCGGGUCAUAACAAGUCAUUUCUCAUUUGGUUUAAUUUGAAAACUAGCUCAAGCUAGGGGCUAAAUCGAUGAGUUAACAAGAUGAUUCAUAGAGACAUAUCAAGUUUAAUAACAGUGUGAAUAUAUUUCUAGCUUCUGCACACGGACAACUAGCUGGUUGAUGCCAAAAAUAAACCCAAUACAAACUCUUUCUCAUUUUUAAGCGUUCUUAUAUGUUGCUAAAACCAUUUUAACCAAAAAAUAGAGGAAAAAAAUAUAUAUACAAGGGUAUACAUAUGAAGCAAGCCUAAAAAGGAUUGUCUAAGUUUGUUGGUGAAAGACUGGAAUGCCAACUAAGAGUUGAUAGACUAAAAUGUCCAAAUUAGUAGUCGACUUAACCUUUCGAAGAUUGUGUGAGAUUGAUGGGUGAACCCUUUGACGGUGUCAUGGAACCCAAAAUUUUGAUUGACAAAGGAACCCACUAGUGAAAAUGCUUUAUUUAGGUGUUUUGGAAGGUUUAAUUAAAUUUAUAGAGGGCUUAAUCACAAGGGAAAUAAACUUUUAGGAGUCAAUUCGGAUGUUAAUUGAAACAAAUCAAGUUUGAGGAUUGAAAUUGAAAUUUGAAAAGUUUAAUUGGUGAAAUCAAGGGCUUAAUGCAUAAAUUUCAAAGUUUGGUGAGCAAUUAAGGACUUAAAUGAACAAUCCAUGAACUAAGGACCAACUUGCAAAACACGCGUAAUUUCAGGGGUCAAAUCAAAGAAAAUUGGAAGUUUGAUGGUCAUCUAGGGGUCCAAUUGAACAAAUCAGAGACCAAGGAUCUAUUUAUAAAAGGUGUUUAAAUUUGGAGCUGACAAUUGAAUAUGGCAGAGACGCAAUUGCAUGAAAUUAAGAAUUUAGAGGGAAAUUACAGGUAAAAUCAAAUGAAAUUGGAAGAAUAGGGAUCAAAUUGCAAAUUUCCAGAUCCUAAAUAAAUAAAUAAACCCUAAUGUAGGGAUUAGCUAAAACAACACCAUUCAAGAUACUAUACAUCUUCUUCUUUAGUUUUUGGUUGAUCAGGUAAGCAUUUUAAGGCAAAUGAAUAUGAUGUUUUUUACCACUGCAGAGCAACAACCACCACCAUUCAACUGAGAAACACCCUCUCUAUAACCCCAUGUCUUUAAAUUCAAAUGUUUAUAUCCCAUAUUUUUCUUUGAUCUCCAUAACAUCUUGUUCCUAGUCAACCAACACUAUAGUUUCAGUUGUCAUAUUGUUUGAGUAGACAUUUUCAAACGUUUGAAUGUGGAGCUACAGACCUCUAAAUAAGCAAUAAUGGAUCCGAUCGAAAGGUGUGCACCCCCUAUACCAAGAUCAGGUGGUCUCAAGCAACAUUGACGUUAGAGUUGUUCUAGCGAAGCCACAAAAAUAACCAACCUAGUUAGCCUUGUCUGGAUAUUCAUUUGCAGAAGACCACCUAACUUUUUCAUGUUCUCCCACUUAAAAACCCCUUAGAAGGUUCCCAUCAAGGUUUUAAAACCUUUCUUUAUAUAUCUAAAGGCCAAAAACACCUCACCUUGGUCUCCAAGUUUCUUACAAAACCACCUAAAAAGAGAGGUAUCUAGGAGCAUAAGGAAAAAAAAAAGGAGAGGCAGGAGAGAGAAGAAAAAAUAAACUUUAGCUAAGGUGCAAGUUAUUCAAUACAGGAGGAUUUGAAAGCUUCAGCUCUGUCUAAUGAAGUUUGAAAAUAAAGAAGAAGGAAUGCAAUAUCAAGAAUCACUUCAUAUUUGAAAAAUUUUAAGCUAAAAAGGUAUAUACAUUCAAACCUUGAAAAUGGAGUCUAUGAGACCUGUUGGAAUGAUUUAUUGUGUUUAAUGUGAAGUUUUGAAUGUUUUAACAUGUUAUUAAUUGACUUUAUACAUUACAUUGCAUGGUGUUUUGAUUUAAUAAAUGCCAAAAGUGGUAGCAAAGAGGGAGGGUUACUUUUUGUUAAUGAAAAGAUAGUCUCAGGUUCUGGAUUACUGGUUUGGUCUUUUGAAAUGACAAAAGUUGGAUUUUGAAGGUCAUUUUGUUCAUGCAUGCCUUAUGUUUUUGAAUUAUUAGUUUUGGGGAUUGAAAAUCAAUGUAUUUUAUGAGUUUCUUGCUUUUUUAUUGUUUCUUUGGUCCUAAUUAUAUUCAUCAUUGAUAAUGUGGUAUGUGAGAAUAAGGAAAACAUGUUUUAGAGGCUCAAAAUGGUCUUUCUAGGUUUGUUUUGUCAUUCCAGGCAUUCUAGUUUGGCUUUUCUGGGUUUUGACAUAUUCAUCUGUUAAAUCUUGCUUUAGGUAUUAGUUUUAGAGCUCGUUUGGUUUAAAUUCUAGUUCAUGCAAGUUCGUUUUAUCACUAUUAGUAAGUAAUCUAGGAGUUUCAUGCAUCAAUAACAUGUUUUAAUCCUAGAGUUUUCGUUUUGAACCGAAACUCAUUUUGACAAAAUCGUGUUGCUAUGUUGACCAUCGAGGCAAACGACCCCUAAUUCUUGUUCUAUGCAUUAUUUCAAACAAGAUCAUGCCCUUCUUUGUUCGAGAUCUAGUCUAAAUUGAGGUUUGAAUUUACGAAAUGACAAUGAAUGUUCUUCAUUUUUUUUGUCUUAUGUGCAUUUGAUCUGUUUUGACUGAAAGAUUUUUAAGUUUUUAUGUUUUUGUGAAGUUUGAUCUAUUUUAGUUUUGGUUUGUUUUUAUGUCAACUCGGUCUAGUCAACCCAAUCGAGUCAGCUGCUUCUAGGUCCACCUGAUCAAGUCAACUCAGCCAGGUCGACCUGGCCAGGUAAAAAAAAAGAAAAAAAAUCAAAUUUGUCUUUAGGCUUUGUUUGGAUAGUUUUUAUUGAUUUUUUGGUUUAAGGAUGUGUUUGGUAAGACCUUUUUAAUUUUUUUGGUUAGUUUUUAUUCCAAGAAGUCUACAAAUAUACAAAAAAAAAAGGUUUUUUUUGUGUGUUGCAUACAGCUAAGUCUCUCAAAAUUAAAAAAAAAAUCUUCUUAAAAAAAAUAAAAUAUAUAAUAUGUUAUAUUUUUUUAACAUGCAUCUUGGAUUUAAUAAUCAAUUCAAUAAAUCCAUGAUAAUUUUGUUAAUAUUCCAAUAAUCACCAAUUUUUUAAUUCAUGAGGAUUAAUAGUUGAAUAUUAUGGUAUAAAUGCUAGACCUCCAAGCAAGGUUGAUAUUAAAAUAUUAGGAAGUAACCAGAAAAUUCUCAUAGUUAUGGAAAUUAUAGAAAAUCUUUUUCAUAAGAAUUUAUUUAGGUAUACGAGUCCAUAAUAAAUUCUUAACAUUAGAUUUAUUCACACGAAUAAAUCUCAAUCCUAAGCCACAGAUAGACCACUGAUUAGAAAACCAUAAAAAUCUCUAAACCACUUAAAACCAUACAAAACAACUUACUUCAGGUAGAGUGCGUUAGGGGUGUUAAUAUAUUUUUUAGCCACAACUAGUACAUUAUCUUUCGAACCUUUAAUAAAACUAGUAUUCAUGAGUUUCUUAACGAUUCUGAACCAAACAACUAGACUACGACUAAUUCAAAUGUUCGAACACCUCUCGCACAGAUGCGACAUUAUCCAUGGCAAAUUAAAGCACACAAUGCUUUCUGUCUUUGCCGUCCGUCCUAUAGUCUUGAUUGAUUCAACUCAAUCACAUAGACAAUCGGACGGUGCCCCAUGUGAGAAAAAUAAAGUGGAAACGCCCAAGAAUGGUCCUUGAAAGGUCUACACUGAACGAGGGAAAAGACAGCCCUUGCAGUGUUCAACUUUGAGUGUUGAAUGUGGUCCUUCAACUGCUCAACGUGGCUGUCUGUUCAUGCCCGGGAUAAGAGGCAAAUGUUUUGGGACACAGAGAUGGAUUAUGAGUGUGUCUCAGCCAAGACAAAUCAACCAUGUACACUGGGUUCUUUUUCAUGCCUCAACAUUAUCCUCACUGGAUUUGAAUAUUAGCCACAUGAAAUAUGCUUCAUUUCCAGGAUAAGAUAAGAACUAUAGAGAGAGUUUGAAUCCUCGAACUUGAACCAAAUGAUACUAACUGAUGAGACCCAGAAUGACUUUAGCUCAGCUCCCUAUAUUCAAAUCCAAAUCAAAGCAAGCCUGCACGACCUGCACGAAUCAUAGUCUGACUAGUCCAUCUCUAGCUCAAAUGCUCGGUAAGUGGCCUUUCGCCAUCAUCAGUCAAGCCACAAUCUGGAACGCGAAUAUCUUGAUUUUGUUUAUACAAUAUGAUGUAGCAUUGGCUACAUGGAACCACAAAGGACUCCACUUGCACUCGUAUCUGGUAAUUUUUCCACCUCCCGCAUGGGACAAGCUUGUCCCAUCUAAUUCUAUCCUGUCCAUUACAGUGAUGUGCAAUCCUAUCUACUCGUUUACACACCCUAAUUGCUCAAGUAAGUUGACAAAUAAUGACGAGAAAAAUCUUGAUUGACUACGGAGCUGGUUGCCUUUCUGCAAUCUCCCUUGCUUGUUCAAUCAAAAGCUAAUGCUAAAAUCUUUGAAUCAAGUAAUCUCGGAUUAUCUAUCCCCAUCUUGAGAGUUAGUUAGAAUGGCUUUCUUGCAGCCAAACUAGCACAAAAGUAAAAUUUUGAUUCAACUCCUAGCAAAAUUCAAACUACAAACCAUAAUAGCAAGAACAAAAAUGUCCUUGGAAUGAAGUUCAACUGUUCAACAGACAGCUUUUUCAACAUGCUCUCUCAUUUUUCCCUCUUUGUAUUAGUCUUCUGAUCAAUCUAGAUUAACAAUCUAUGGGGCAGAUUUCGUCAAGCCGUUGCAAAAUAAAUCUCCUGGCCGUUAAAUAGGACCCUUCUUUUCUGAAGAGGCAAGAAGAUUUGGCAAGUUUCACGUUAGCAUCGUUGAUUGCUCAAUUCUAGCCCAAUCAGACAAGUGAAUCUCUUUCUCCUAAGCAAGUAUCUAGGAAGUUUCAAGGAUUACCUUUUCUGUCAAACACAUCAACUAACAGAUGGCAUCAACAGGCUGCUUCUUGUUAAGCCUAGAAAAGUGAAAAACUGGAAGCCAUCGUUCACAACAAAAACCAUAUCUUUAUGAUAUCUCAUUUAUCCACGAAAGGUGUGGCAUAUAUCGCAUUAAGGACCUACCAGGUUUUUAUCUCCUGAAACUGUCCUGUGAACAUCAGCCCUUGGCAAUCAAUACCAAAAGUCUAGUGGCGGCACAAACUGGUAAAUUUAACUUCAUUUUAUCUCUUUGAUUACGACUUAUGCUUUAAUUUCGGCCUAAAUAUUUGAGCUAUAAAGCUAACCCAUAGCACGAGUUCAUCCUCAUCCACAGCCUCCUUACAACAAACACUUCCUCCUUUUUUGGAGUCCUGAAACUCCCAAAUAUUUGAAAAGAAUGGCAAAUUCACGCAUAGCAAAGUUCAUCACAGAGGCUGCACCACCACAAUAUAUUAGUGUCAUGAGGCACAGAACAUCGAAGAUGCUGGAUACAAUUAGUGAAGAGGACAGAGAUGUAGCCGCAAGUGAUCCUUUUCCCAUGGCACCAACUUCUUCCACCAUUGUUACUACCAGUGCUACGUCUGUUGCUGCUAAAAAUUCAACGUACUUUUUCAAGGGGAUUCGAAGGUCUUUUUCAUUGUUUGCAAACUGAGAACUCUGUUUAGCACUUUUUCCAACUUGUUCAAAAACUUUUUUUAUUCCUCCCUUGUUUGUUUUCCACUUAAUGAAGUUAGGAAAGGAAUUGCUAUGUUGUACAAUAAAUGCUAAGUUAGUAAAUUGUAUUAUACAGCAGAAUGACAUGGGAGUAUUGUAAUUUCCAAGUUGAACAAAGUUGAAGAUUUUCAGUCGUCCUCAUAAUGCUAAGUUCCAUGUUUGAUAUAUUUAGUAGCUUUUUUUCUUGCAUCUGUUAAGAAAAUAUUUAGCUUUUCUACUGGGAUUAUGUGUAUUGCAAAGGAUGAGAUAUCCAGGAGAGGAUUCACUUCUAAGAGACAACAACAGACUAUUUUUUUCUAGGUAUAAUUUAUUAUAGUGCUUGUAUAAUCCUGAUCAUUGAACUAACAUCUUAAUGUUGAAGAAAUUGAGAUCAGAGACAAAUUGCUAGAAAAUUUAAUUUGAAAAACAUAGUGAAUUAGCGC